UAGCUUCAUUGCCUGAAAGAUAGAAUCAUCUAUGUUCGAAGAGUGUUCCUUGAAAAUUUCUGCUGUUCACUGGUAAGUAGUUGUGUGAAAUACUUUAGUCAACCUGCGAAGGGUGAUGAUUGAACAUAUCAUACAUUAUGCUGCAUUAUUGCUCAAGUCUUUGUUUUCCUGUGAGGCUGUGACUACACCUUGAAGCAGUGAACUAUCUUUUUCAUAGAAGGUGCCAACCAUCUGGUUUUUUUUAUAAGGAUUAUCAUAUCGGGAAACUUGUAAUUUUGGAUGUCUUCCUGGUCAUAUUUAUAGGAACUCUUUAGUUUGGGGACUAAAGAGGGUUGUUGGGCAAACUAGAUUUGUCACCAUACAAUUAUGUACGUAUCAAGGAAAUGUGACGAGUUAGAUAAGGAAAUGUACUUGAUGGUUUUCCUUUUAAGUGCGGUGUUUGACAAGCUUAGCGCUAAAUCCCAGUUUUGGUUGACAUAUUCUUUUGUCAUUUUAGUAGAUAUUAACCCACUUCAGUGAAUAAUAAGUUUUGUUUGACGAUCUUAUUUUAAUGUUGCAUCAAUACUAAAUAUAGCGUUAUCUCCAUAAUGUGCAGCCUGGCCCAAAGGAUGGUACUCUUAGAUGUUUCAUAAGAAGGAAUCGGACUACUCAGACAUAUUCUCUCUAUAUUGGACUCACUGAAGGUAUGCUACUUAAUCCUCCCUGUUUUGCUUAGCCUGCUUGGCCAAAGCAAGUUAAGCUAUGCUGACGUAGAGUGGAUAUAGUAUAUGCUUACUGGUUUUUGGUUCUUUUUGCAGCACUAGCUGAUGAUGGGAAGUUCUUACUUGCUGCACGCAAAUGCAGAAAGGCCACAUACACAGACUACCUCAUUUCCCUUGAUAUGGGUGAUAUGUCAAAGGGUAGCAGCACCUAUAUUGGCAAGCUAAGGUCCUUUUUUCUGAUUUGAUCUCUGAAAAGUUAAAGAUAUAACUUGUUCUAGUUUUUUUUAGUACUAUGCAAGCAAGGCCAUUUAGUUCUACUCUAGGUUGUUCAGCUAAAGUUGUCUGCAGUAUUUUCAUUCUUUCUUGGACAUUUGGGAAGUACAACUUAAACUCUGUUAAAAUAAGUAGUGUGCUAUCUGCGUUUUUUUCCAUUAAUUGUGUAAAGGUAAUACCAAGCAUCAACUGGUCUUAGGAUAUCACACUGAACCCUAUGUGUUUUUAUAUCAGGACCAUUUGCUUGCCAGGAGCAUUCACUUGAAAGCAAUUUUGUCUUUGUUGUUGCCUGAAUUAUUUUUAUGGUGAAAUGUAUUCCGCAAUAACAAUAUAAAAAUGAACUAACCAACUACUUUUAUAACAGGUCAAAUUUUCUGGGAACAAAGUUUACUGUCUAUGAUGCCCAUCCUCCUUAUGACGGAGCUGUUGUCUCGAAGAGUCGAUCUGCACGUGUGAUUGGUUUGAAUCGGGUCUCCCCAAGAGUUCCUGCUGGAAAUUAUCCAGUUUCACAUAUUUCUUAUGAAUUGAAUGUUUUGGGCUCCAGGUAUGGCAAUUCACUCUAUGCCGACUUAAUUAGAUCUAAUAUUUUGUUUUGGUAAGCAUACAAAUUAACACUUGAUUGGUAACAAGCUCAUAAUAUCUGAACUAACUUUGAGUGGAUAGAACUUUGGUAGUGAUGAUUGCAACUGCAUUUAUAGAUAAUUGACCUCUGCUGAUUAAACUGGUGAUAGUGUCACAGAACUGCCUGAGCAGUUUAGAUUUAGUUGACAAUGUGUGACCUAAAACUAUGUAAAUGCAUAUCUCUAUUGACACUGAAUGCUAAAACUGUAUUAAAGUGCUCCAAUAGUAUGUGAGCUGAAAGGACAUCGCUCAUUGUGCUGUUGCUUAUUGUUGUAGAGGUCCAAGAAGGAUGAACUGUGUUAUGAAUUCUAUCCCCGCAUCAGCUGUUGAAGAAGGAGGGAAAGCUCCAACGCAGACUGAAUUCCCUCGUAGUAACCUCGACUCUUUCCCGUCAAUUCCAUUCUUCAGAUCUAAAUCUGCUCGGAUAGACAGUACAGCUUCCCAGCUACCCACUCAGAUGGAAGAGAAAUUGGUGCUCAAGAACAAGUCUCCCAGGUGGCAUGAACAACUGCAAUGUUGGUGCCUCAAUUUCCGUGGACGGGUGACCGUUGCCUCGGUAAAAAACUUUCAGCUGGUGGCUUCGGACGACAAUGGACCAGCUAACCAGGAGCAUGACAAGGUGAUUCUCCAGUUUGGAAAGAUAGGCAAAGACUUGUUCACCAUGGACUACCGCUACCCGAUAUCAGCAUUUCAAUCAUUUGCGAUCUGUCUGAGCAGUUUUGAUACCAAAAUUGCUUGUGAAUGAGACAAGGUAUUAUUUCUUUCCUUUUUCCGCAUUAGUAUUACCUGCACACCUAACAUGGCUGGUUACUCUGCUAGAUACACUGUAAACCUAGAGCUGGCUUCUAUCCAGAUAUCCGUCCGUAACGCCUGACAUUUUUUUAGCAGCUUAAUUCAAAUUUACUCCCUGGAGACAGUAGGAUAAAGCUGCUUCAUAGUUACUCCCCGGACUCCAGUCAGUAGGAUAGUGACAGUUGAACAGGAACAGACAUCUUACCUGGCUGUUAGGGUCUCCAGGACGUCUACCUAUAUCCAACUAUCCAAGUCCAUCUGAGCUCAUCUGUUCAUAUAUUACGCCGCAGAGUGAGUAGAUACCAACAGUGAACAGUCGAUGGGUGUUUGCCCUGUAGUGGCUAGUACUUGUACAUCUGUUUACUGAAAGCAUGUUGUGUGAACUACUAUAACAUGCGAUUUCUUAUAGUUAAUAUAUGAUGCUGAAGCUACAGCUUUGAAAACAGCUUUGAAAGCACCUUGUAGGCUGCUGGUAGCCUGGAAUACUACUGCUACUGCAGCAACACACAACCAGAAUUUGAAUUUCAGUGUGCAUCUUGAUGAAUCCUUGAGCCUCGUGUACCUGCAGGUUCUGGAAAACAUUGCCAUCCCUUGGAGUGAUGCUGAAGCUGAAGGAAGAAGUAAUGCUGAAGCUGAAGGAUUGGGUAAACGUACCAUCCCUUGGAGUGGUGCUGCGGUCGGUGUACAUAGCUAUUUCAGUUUAUUUUCCUUUCUGAUUAAUAUACGGAGUACAUUCUUUGCCGGUGCCGGCAAUUGAAAGAUUAGAGUCUUUUCCCCGGAGUGGUGCAGGCUUGCGUUGUGUGGCCAUGGCCAAAGAUAGUUUGUCGCUUGAUGAGUUUAUAAAAGAGUGAGCCAACGUUGCAACUUGCAAUUGGGUUAGCUUCCAGGGAUGGGUUCGUGAUGAGAUUUAAGAGUAAAUUCCUGUGUUACAACUUACAAGUGCAUGUUCAGUGCGUUGCAAAUCAGAUGCGUGGUUCAUGUACGUGCCUGUUCGGUCGGUCGUGUUAUCACCUAGGAGUAGUAAACAAGUUUGAGUUGCAAUGUUUCAUGGUGGAUGUGUAAAACUGUAAAUUGACAACAUUGGAGAUACUUUACUGGUAGGCAUAAUACGGACGACCUUCCCUAAACCCCUUCGCGAAUAGAGGAAAAACCAUCCGGAAGUCGUAACCCCGUAGACUCGGAGCACCAAACGAGCUACCUCUUCUCUUUCACGUCGCUGGUUAUCCCGCGUCGUCUAUGUCAAUCGAGAGGGUAGAGAAGGGACGGCACACCUACCUUAUUUUCCAAUCUUGUCUUUCGCGAGCUAAUCAAGCAGAUUCCAAGAAAAUUAUGCAAUGAUCACUAUCAUUUCGCAUGUUAACACCUCAGAUUAUUGGGCGGGAUACCUCACAUUGAUUCGUGGGGGCAACAUCACAUCGUACAACUUCUGGACGCAAGACCAACCCAUCAUCAUCAUUAUCACGAUGAUGAUACAAUCUGAAGAAAAAUAGGAGGACAUUCAACUCUUCAACCCCGCUAUAUGCAGCUAUACACGACAGCUGUCACCACUCUCAGGAAUUUACUGCAGAAUUCUACACAAUGGAGGACAAAUAUACCGGUGCCGCCCAUAUGGUAUAUCAUAUCUACAACGAGGCGGAACAGUAGGCUUGUCAAGCUGUUUGCGGCUCUUUCACGGUGCCCUGCGCCGCGUGGCCAGACGGAGCGGCCAGCCGGAAGCCGUCCCCAUCGCCCGGCAGGUCGUCCUCGUGCGUCUCCUCGGGUGACGACGACUCCAGCGCGUGCGCAAACUGCACGAACAGCGGCCAGUGGUCCGGCGAGAAGAACUCCGCGCCCAUCCGCUGGUACGUGAAGUGGCACGGCCGGGUUCUGUCAGCAUUCAGCAGGGCGCCCCAGACGCCGGGAUCGGCAUCAGCCGCGGCCACCGACGCGCUCUCGCACGCGAACCGCGCGCCGCGCUCCGUGCAGGCGUCCUUGAUCCGCGCCAGGACCUCACCCGCCUCUGCGUCCGGCAUGCCGGCCACGGACACGAUGGCCGUGCACGCGUGCCGCGCGAACAUCUCGGCGACCGGGCCGUACCCGCCGUACAGCCCGGCGGUGGCCUCCGCCGCUAGGCGCGUCGACCCGGAGUGAUGGAAGAACGGCACCUUGGCUGACAUCUCGACCGGCGCGCCGCGGAACGCCCUGGACGCCGCGGCUAGGACGCGGUCGCCGUGCGCCAGCAGCUCCCCGGCGUACCACGACAGGAAGAAGGCCCCGUACGCGCCGGUGUGCUGCUCCCUGAAGAAGCCCGUGGACUCUGGGGACGCGUCGCCGUACCCCGGGGCGUCGUGCGGGCCCGACAGGCCCCACAGCGGCUGCCCCGACGAGUCGGCGUGCAGUUUCAGCCGCGCGAGCAUGUGCUUGUCGUAGCACUGGAACUCGCCAACGCCCAAGUAUGCGUCCUCGACGGCGCAAUCGCUUCCAGGCGGCGGGUACGACGGGUACCGGAGCUCGCCGUUUGGUCCCAGGCUCACGGUCACAUCCUGUAUAGAAUCCAAGAAUAAGAAUAAGAAUUGAAGAACAGUCACUUGUAAUUUGUGGCGCAAAUCGAAACUGAGUAACACGACGCGUCCUCAGGUUUUUGCCUUACCGUAAUAGUAGAGCCCAAGAAGCCGUGGAAGGCAUCCGCGAAGCUGCGGAAGAAGGCCUCGUACGCCUCGAUCGGCGAUUUGCCCGCGAGCACGGGAAGCUCGUCGACGGCGAAGGAGAGACAUCCCUCGUGGCGGUUCCCGGAGCGGUCGGCCAAGAGGAUGUCGGCAUCGGCGGCCCAGCCGGGGAGCGCGGCGCCGUGGGUGAGGAACGAGACGCGGAGGCCCAGCCCAGCGUCGCGGACCAUGCCGGCGACGGCGAGGUACCCGGCCCACUCGAACUGGUGGCCGUCGUCGUCCGAUCCGGGCUGCACGACGGCCCAGGACACCGGCAGCUCGACGCCGUCGACGCCGAGCAGCUUGAGCGCGCGCAGCCCGGCCUUGACGGCCCUGGAGCACUUCAAAGCCUUGCCGUCGGUCACCACGUCCGCGGGGAGGCCCACGAACAGCCUCGUCGCCCGCGCGUCCUCUUCCUCCUCCUCCUCACCGGCUGUCUCCUUGCUGCGCCGCUCGGCGACGAGGUGGGCCCUCGCUAGCAGGCCCGAUCUUGCCCGGACGGCCCAACUGGCGCGCCGUGCCAUGCCGAGCCGGACGACGGCCAGCCGGUUCCCGGCCGGUGCCGCCCACCGUACGCACCGGCGUCUCGCCAGAACAGCUGCCUGCUGCUGCAUCAGCACCGCUUCCAUGGCUGCUGCUGAUCGGAUCAACCUGACUGCGACACGGUCUUUUGCUUUUGCUUGGGUUUGGGACUUUGCUUGUGGCUGUACUGCUGCUUGGUACUGGCACCAGGAGUUGUGAAGUCUCCGUUUCGGGUUUUCCCGCGUAUUUAUGUUCGCGGUGGUCGGAAGAAACAAAGAAGAACAGCGCGCCCACGUGGCACGGGAUCAGCCGCCGGAACAGUACGAGUAGAGUUCAAGGGGGCAGGUCUUAUCCAGUCGAUGACGGGUGGGCCUAUCAUACAGGCCAUGUGAUUCCUUCCAGGAUGAUGCGUGGCGUGGGACGUGGGGCACGUCGCCGUUUGUGCGCGUACGUACAGUAACCGUUUAAGCUUGUGGAUAAGCUGGCACGUCGGAAUGCCCAUGUGCCACGCAGGCAGGCGGCGUGCCCGCGAGAUAGAUCUGCACUGGUCGGCGGCGGGAGACGGGAGAGCUGACGCGUGGGGCUACGCUUGUCAGUCGCAGGGAGGGUUUGUGUGAACCGUGAAGCUGACAUGUGGGGUCUGUACGUGUGUAAGGAAGCGGGUGGCGGGGGAGAAACAGGAAGGCGUGUGGCUGACGCCGUAACAUUCCGCAGGCGCCACCCGAUUUUUGGGAUCCAGUUCGUGGCUGGGUUUUGAGUUGCGGUUUGUUUUCUUGUUUUGAAACUUGUAAAUUGUUCGAAGGCGGCAAGCAGUGGUCGGAGUUCAUUGAUUCGGUAACGCUUGGUUAGAAAUUGUUAUGUUGACCGUCGAGGACAUAAUGCUUCCUUGCUCGGCCAAGGACACCAUGUGGUGUUCAUUUCCAUCGCUUUGGAGCCAUUGUUUUAUUCUAUUUUUAAAGAGCCCCCUCUCCGAUUUCUAUCAUAAGGAGUAUCUAGAGCAUGUGCAAGUUGCUUAAGGAGAUGUUUACACGUAGUAAACCGUUUUUUUUUCGACCACUAGCUUUUGCUUUAUAAAAUUAGACACCAUUGGGAUAGAAAUUAGCACUGGUGUAUCAGAAUAAACCGAUUUAAUUUUAUAACACUAUCUCGAACACUUUGUAUUGUACAUACUUUUAACAGGUCCAAGUCUGAUACACCAAAAAAAUGGGACAUACAACAGUCUACACAAAACAGAACUGAUUGAAUGAAACUACAACGAGCAGAAACCUAUUGAAGCUCUAGAGUAGAUCAAACGCCCUGUCUUGAGCUGGAAUCUUCCCAUACCCCCUGUAACAACAUCGCUCCAGCAGGUCGACAACCUCAAAAGGCAGCAUAAAACCUUCCAAAAAAUCACAGAGCAAUUCACCUUUGAAUCAUCUCGCUGACUGGGAGACCUUUUUAGCAAUCUGUUCAACCAGUCUUGUUCCCAAUUGGAGGAGGUUUCGUUUUGCCUCCCUUAUCUGAAGAAUCGACCAUAAGUAUUGAGUUUUGCCUCGGUGUCGUUGCGCCCUUCGAUUGAUGGUGUUGGACAAACUCGUAGUGAUGGCAUAUUCUGUACAACCAGUGAGAUUGAUGUCCGCGGCGUAAUCUUGAUGUAUGAUACCUUUCGACUAGAUGUAUUGGAUAACAACACUCGUUGACUUGUUGGUGCUCGGAUCCUCUCGGCCGCCGACCAAGUGGGUGGAGAUUGUGCAACUGGUGUCGACUCGACGGUAGUCUGCCCUUCGAUGACGUCGAAGACAUGCCAGAUACCAUUUUUGCGAUGGUAGUUCUCUUGUUUUGUAUUGUCCAACUAGGUAGUGUUUUUAGGAGUUACAACUUUUAUAUAUUUUAUUGAAUUGCAUGUGCUAGCCAUCUGAACCAAAAGACUGAACUGAUGGAAAAAAGUUAGACAAUUUACUUCAACACACGUUUGUUUACGAUACCAUAUUGAACUGCAUGCGCUAGCAAUCUGAACCAAAAGGCCGAGCUGAUGAAAAGAAGAUAGACAAUUUAGUUCUAACAUAUUUCACUAGCUAUUGUGUUCGGAUUGUUAGUACCUCUAUGUUCCCGUUUUCAUUUGAGUUUUAUUGAGUUUGUGUCCUUUUAGAUCUGGCUUCGCUAAUUGCCUCAAAAUUCUUGGCUGUGUCCUUUAGAUCUGCGUUCGCUGAUUAUCUCUAAAUUCCCCCACAGAAGAAAAUUACAGCUAUUCAUCAUUUAGAAGUGACAAUUUAUUAAGCUGCGUGCUGAUUUGAAAUUUGCAGAGCAAGGUGUUCUUGAGUCUCAAGAUCAUACAUCGAAUCAUUGAUCCAUCGUCAAGUCAAAAUUUUCACCCACCCCCGUAGAAAUUUGUUCGGAUUAAGGAGCAACAGAGUUAGAGAGAUAAUUUGGCCUCAGAUUAGCAUUAGCACAUUGAUCUUUGCCAUCGGUAACACGGGUAACACUUACCCGAUGCGCACAAUUGCUACCGAGGCUCACACAUCAAAAGCUGUCAUCACCGGCCAAUGCAUCUCAGCUCAACUCUAUGAACAGAGAACUAUACGAGCCCCCCUUCCAGAAGAAGCAAAAACAAGGAUCGUGCAACAUGGGUGCGUGAGAUUAUGCCUCUUUGAAACGAUCACGAACAGAAAGGAAUCAAAAUAACUUCAAAGGAAAAAAGAAGCGGAAAUCCCCGAAGAGAUGAACUCGGAAGGAUCGAAAUCCCAAAGGGAAUCACAAAGAGAGCCAAAUCCGCGAAAUGAAUGGCGGCUCCUCACGGCGAGAUUUUAGGUUAGGGUUCCAACUGCGGCGGAGGCCAGAGGGUGCGUCCAGCUUUAUUGCUUCUAGAGGAUGGGCUACAAGCAGAGAAAGUUGGGCCCGUGGGCCGAGAAAAAUUGAGCCCAGUCUCAACGUUGGCUGAAACCAAUCAUUAGUCACGAACUCACGACUCACGCCCGGAUUGCCUCGCCCCGCCAGGCCGCCAACCACCACAAACGCUCGCCGGCUUCCCCCCACACUCGACACCCCUACUCCCCGCGCAUUUCGUCGAGCACGAUGGCCGCCCUCCUCCUCUUCUCUCGCCUCCCCGCCACCACGGCCCCCGCCUCCACCUCCGCUCCUCGCCUCACUUCCCAGUUCCUCUCCUUCUCCACCACCACCAAGCCCUGCCGCCGACGAGGCCGUCUCCUCGCGUCCUCCGCGCCGCCUCCGCCCGUGCCCUCCCUGGCCGCGGCCCAGCCCUUCCGCUCCCUGCUCCCCUCCGAGACCACCGUCCUCGUCACCGGCGCCACGGGCUACAUCGGCCGCUUCGUCGUCCGCGAGCUGCUCCGCCGCGGGCAUCGCGUCCUCGCCGUCGCACGCCCCCGCAGCGGAUUGCGCGGCCGAAACUCCCCCGAGGAGGUCGUCGCGGACCUCGCCCCCGCCCGCGUCGUCUUCUCCGACGUCACCGACCCGGCCGCGCUCCUCGCCGACCUCUCCGAGUACGGCCCAGUCCACGCCGCGGUUUGCUGCCUCGCCAGCCGCGGCGGCGGUGUGCAGGACUCGUGGCGCGUCGACUACCGCGCAACGCUCCACACCCUCCAGGCCUCCCGCAGCCUGGGCGCCGCCCACUUCGUCCUCCUCUCGGCGGUCUGCGUCCAGAAGCCGCUACUCGAGUUCCAGCGCGCCAAGCUCAAGUUCGAGGACGAGCUCGCCGCCGAGGCGGCCCGGGACCCCGCCUUCACCUACAGCAUCGUCCGCCCCACCGCCUUCUUCAAGAGCCUCGGUGGCCAGGUCGAGACCGUCAAGAAGGGCCAGCCCUACGUCAUGUUCGGCGACGGCAAGCUCUGUGCCUGUAAACCCAUCAGCGAGGAGGACCUCGCUGCCUUCAUAGCAAACUGCAUCUUCGACGAGGAUAAGGCCAACAAGGUACUCCCAAUUGGAGGGCCGGGGAAAGCUCUCACCCCUAUGGAGCAAGGGGAGAUGCUGUUCAGGCUCCUGGGGCGCGAGCCCAAGUUCAUCAAGGUGCCAAUUCAGAUCAUGGAUGGUGUCAUCUGGGUGCUCGAUGGACUGGCCAAGGUGUUCCCUGGCUUGGAGGACGCGGCAGAGUUUGGCAAGAUCGGGAGGUACUACGCAUCGGAGAGCAUGCUGGUGCUGGACCCGGAGACCGGGGAGUAUAGCGACGAGAAGACACCGAGCUAUGGCACAGACACGCUCGAGCAGUUCUUCGAUAAGGUGAUAAGGGAAGGAAUGGCAGGGCAGGAGCUCGGUGAGCAGACCAUCUUCUAAGCCUGUGUGCUUGCCAGUUUCCAGGGCUUGUAAAUUCAGGGCGAGAGUGUACAAAGGUGAGGCUUUUACCCUGGUCAUGUUUCCAACACAAUUAGCUCAACUGUAACAUACAAGGCAUUGUCUAAUUUGAAGGUGGAUAAGUUUCGCUAUCUGAGAUCAUUAAUAGAUCAAGAUGAUUUACAAUUUCAUCAUCGUUACAUAAUUCCUGGUAUAAACCAGACAGUGUCUCAUAGCUGGGGAGUAAUGAAAAUGUAAUCCAGCCAUCAAUAGUUGCUUCGAAGAUUUCAUAACCAAAUACCAUGCAUGAAAAUGAUUUACUCAACCCUACACUAAACAGUGACAAAAAAAUCAUAAAAACCAUGCCAAGAUACCAUAAUGACUAUAAUUUGCCUGUAAAUAGUAACACUGACUUCAUAGAGUUCAUAGCUUCAAGACUAUAUACAAAGGUUGCAAUAAAACAACUCUCCUCGACAUAGCGUAGCCAUAUGUAGGCGAUAUACAUUAUCAAGUUUGUAUAUGAGCUAUCAUCUGCCACACUGAAGGCAAACAAAAUGUUGACGCCUUUUUGUAUUAUCUGCACUCUCUCCUAAUUAGCGUUCCUCCUUUGGUCCAAGAUGCAUAAUAGUAUACUGCAAGAUCAAGGGUUAAUCUGAUUUGCCUUGGCAAAACGCCCCUUGAUCCUCAGCCUGCUGUCGGCACGAGCUUUGCGGGACUCAUACCGGACCUGUUUGUCGAAUCUGCAAAUUGAAAUACAGUUAUGGAUGCAGUAAUAUUUGUGAAUCCAAACUGAUCCUUACCAAGAAAAUUUCAUAAAAAUACAUUUGCCAUGCCAUAGCCAAAAUCUUACCUUCUUGUCCUCCUCUUUUCUUUAUAGCGGGAAAUGACAAUGUCCCGAUCAGGGCCAGCAACAACAUCAAAGCCACCCCUUUUGGGGAAAGUUUGCAUUGACAUGCCAAUGCCAAGAUUGGCCUGCUGGCUGUCAUCCCUGGUGCUACCAUUGCUCAUGCUGGGGCAAAGUUCCGACAUCUGAACAAAUGAUGAUAAGCAUGCUUCAGCUGAUCCAACCGGAGCCUGCUCAUGUUCGUACUCGUUCUUGCAUACAUCAUUUAGGGCAUGAUAAUUGCUGUUGUUGUUCCAUCCACCAUUCUGCGAGCCAGAUAAACUAACAUGUUAAUCGAUCGCUCUAGCAUGGUAAUCUAUCACCAAAUAAGCACUAUAUGCAGCAAAACAAAACAACAAUAGAAAACUUGUGCAGAUUUACUGGUUUUGUGUAUGUUCUUCAGAGCUUUUAGCUGUUAUACCAGAGAACUGGACAGUCUUCAUUUUCAUGACUAAGUUUUACUACAGCACCUCUCACAUAGUACUACUACUUUCCUUAGAAGGAAGGGCAUUAGGAUUCUGUUUCCCUGAUUCAGUAUAUCAGUAAUUCAGCUAUGAAUCAGCAGAUCCGUAGCAAAUCAUAGUAUUCUUGUACUGCAUAUUGAAGGUGAAUUUGGGAGAUUCUUGACUAGAGUAUUCUAACGCCAAGAGAUGUAUACUGAGCUGUACACACUUACACUUCAGAACAUAUGCCUCAUCACCUCGAGAUAGUUAUGACUAAAAUCUUGCUACGAAUAUCUUUGUCAGAUAUGAUGGAGAAUAUCUCAAUUUCUCUAGUUUCUGCCGUUCAAGCAGAAACGUUGCAGACACUAUCAAUUGUCUAAGCACAAGUUUCAGUCAACCCCUGUACCAAAUGUCUUAUUGGUUCAUGAGUAAUUGCAGUGAAAGAUCCACAGUUUAUAAACAGCAGAGGAGAUUCUGAAGAUAGACUGAAGGAUGUGGAUUUAACCUCAUAACCAGGGGUCGGCAUGGUUGCAAGAACUUCAUGGCUGUUCUCCGUGGCAAAAUUUCCACUUCCAGUGAUGUGCUCUGACGGCUCCCACGAUGGCAACUGAUGGGCACCCUGCUCUGCCUCCUCCCGAGGCGCUAUCUGCACGGCCCCGCCGUCGGCCUCGGCAAGCUCGCGCAGCUGUCGUAUGACCUCCUCGUUCGUCUUUCCGUCCGGCGAGCCCUGGUUCUUUUGCAUCAGAAAGAUAAUUAACAAUCAAGCCGAGUCAGGCCGGAAAGAUAAAAGCAAAAACAAGGAAAUUGGUGAAUUUUGCCAGACGGUGGACAGUAAAGUGAGCAGGAGGUACCUUGGGGGACGAGGGCGUGACGAGGGGCUGGAAUCCAUGGCAGGAAGUGGUGGGCACGAUGAGAUCCUGGAGGCUGAACACCUGGGGCUCCUCCCAGAUGGUCCACCAACCCUGGUCGGCCGGCGGCUUCUCGAAGUCGGGGACCCCGAGGAGCGCGGCGAGGUCGUGGGCCGAGGGCCGGCCCGUGUAGGCCUGGACCGUGCAGCGGUCGUGGAGCGGCGGCUGCUCGCCUUCGCGGUUCCUCCCGAAGUCGCAGUUGGAGCAGAGGAAUAAGGCGGUGGCGCCGCUGCGGAAGACGGCCCCGGCGGCGCUGCAGGCGGCGCAGAGCGGGGCGCGCGCAUGGCGGGAGCAGACGGCGUUGGCGGCGUGCACGUGGCGGUCGCAUGGCAGGCAGAGCCUGGCGCUGUCGGCGCGGCAGUAGACCACGGCGCGGGCGCCGCUGCAGUAGUCGCAGGAGAAGAUCGCCUCGUGGGCCGCCGUCUCCGGCCCCUGGCGCUCCUCCUGCUCCAUCUGUGCCUGCGGUGCCACUUCUCGAUCCUGCCGCUCGUCUUGACCCAUCCGAUCGGACCAGUCCGUGGGGGAAAUAAAGCUUCGUUCCUUGGAGAUGAGCUUGUGUGGUUGGUGGCCGGUACUCCUGGUACACUGCUACUGACCCGAUAGCUGAAGAAGGAGAAGAAGAAGAGAGGGGAGAGACGGAAGAAGAGGCGAAGGGGAUAAUGCGUGCAUACACCGCUUGGUUGCUUGGGGGAAAAGAAGGUACUAGGAGAGCUAGAAGAAGCGCGAGAGCAUGCGUCGUGAAUUGCGAAAGAGACGAUUCGAAAACGAGGUGUCCGCCUCCGGGUAUCUAGAGCGAGCUAGCUAGCUCGGUCCGAUAUUUCCAUACUUGCUCCUGCGUGUGUGUGUGCUGUGAGCUCGGCUACGUGGAGCGGUGCUAGCUUGCCGCGAGGGCUCGUCAGCCUUUGGGCCACUGGGCCAUGUGUUGGACCGGGAGUCUCGUCGAUCGCGUCGACGUUCGGACAAAAGCGCCCGACGCAGCAGCUUCUCCGUGGUUCGUUCGACGGCGAGUGGGAAAGGGCAGGUGGGGCGCACGGACGCUGGAGGUUUGGCUGAGUUGUCUCACGAGAUCUGGGCACGAGCCGACAGCAGAUGCGGCCGUUGGCGGAAAGGGAUGGCUUGGACGGGUCCGAACGGGACCAUGACGUAUAGGCUGAGGUAAUGCGCUGAGUGCUGUCGCUGCCUCCAGAGUCCAGACUUAACCGGCCCAGGUCCACUCGCGCAGAAGCCCGACCCAUCACACGCCCACGUAAUUCUUUUUCUUGCCUACCCACCGGUCCACCAGAUUCUCCAAAUAGAACCUUGCCGGUUCACACGGUCACAGCACCAACAGGCACCAUCAGAUUCUCCAAAUACCCCGAGCAGUUGUCUAAAAAAAAAAACCGUGCGGUGCUAUUGCAAAAUCAAUUAUCUAUUACUAUAUAUUACUACCUCUGAUCCUAAAUUCUUGACUCAAAUUUGCCUAAAUAUGGAUGUAUCUAUUAUUAAAAAACGUCUAGAUAGAUAGAUGUAAUAUUUCGACAACAAUUUAAGAUCGGAGGGAGUACCUCUGUUUCAUAAUUCUUCUUGAAAUCUUACAUGUAUCUAGACACUUUUUAAGAAUAGAUACAUCCAUUUUUGGGCAAAUUUGAGACAAGAAUUAUGAAACGGAGGGGGUAUUAAAUUACAAACGGUGGUGAUGGCGCACGUCCGUAGGUCUUUUCAUCAAAAUUACGAGCAACAUGCCACCGGAAAAAAACCACAAAGGUAGCCCGUGCGCGUGCGUCCGCCCUGAUCGAUAAAAGCCAAACCCGUCUUAGUAGUGAGAAACAGUAUUUUGACGAGAGACAACCUGCUGCAUAGAGGUUGGAGAGGGCCAAGUAAAUGUAAUUUUUGCAACUUAGAUGAAACUGUAGAUCAUUUAUUCUUACUUUGUUCUGUUGCUAAGUUUCUUUGGGGGUGGUGAGCUAUAUGUUUGGUUUCAGCAAAAUACCCUCCUCCAUGAAGCAAAUGUGAUUGGAUUUAUGGUUUUCCACAUAGAUAUAGGAGACUAAUUGCUGUUGGUAUCUGCUUUAAGUUGGACAAUUUGGAAAACAAGAAACGAAACUUGUUUUCAAGGAAAUUAUCCUAAAGACCCUUCUAAUAUUGUGUUUCUUUUAUGGGGCGGGUCUGCAGAAAUCUAGCGAGAAGGAGAAGUUACUUUCAGGGGCACAGCUCUUCUAGUUGGCGCUGGAAGUACUCAGUUCACGACAUGGUUAUGGUUGGGGCCUGUAUCAAAGAAGACUGGGGAAUGAAAUGAUUGACAGUUUCUGUUUCCGUUUUGAGAUGCAGACUUCGGGUGGCAUGUGAUGCCAUGUGAUCCAACCUGACUACAUUUUAUUUCCUGUCUUUAUGUUGCUGAAGGCCAAGACCUUGAACCUCAUAACCGAAACCUCUGUAGUUCGAUUUCCUUAAUGAAAGCGGGAGCAUAGCUCCUUCUAAAAAAAAGCCAAACCCGUCUGUUUCCCCAUCUAACAGGUACAAGGUCCAUGGUGGGCUUCCCCUGCAUUGGCCCAGCAGGCCCAACCCAGCCAGCACGAAACGUUAAUCUGUUGGAGAGAAAGCUCUUCUUUUUUUCGGGUGGAGAGAAAGCUCUUUGGAUCUAUCAAUGUUGGCUGUAAUAAAUUAAAAAAGGAAAAAAAAUCAAUGCUUACCUGCCGGUCACGUAUAUGCUUCACAGGGUGAAAAACUGUCAGAAAUCCGCCCGCCCGUGUGCGUGCUGCCAUCUUGCUGAAAGGGAUUAGUUUCUCAAUAGGCAUUUUUGAGCGAGUGAAGUGUACGCCGACAACGCCUUCCAUAUUUCCAUCUCCGCAAGCUGCAAUGGAAAGGUACAAAUUUAUAACUACAAAGUAUAAAUCCAGAAAACCUGAUUUACUUUCUAAUAGCAAUGAAGCUUAUCUCAAGGAAAUACAACAACAAUAUAAUACUCCCUCCGAUCCAUCUAUUCCUAAAAAGCGUCUAAAUAAGUGUAAUAUUUUAACAAUUAAUAUGAAUCGGAGGAAAUACAUGAAGUUAAAGAUGACCAGUGCUAUAAAAUAAGUACAAUAUACAAAGUCAAGUGAAUGGUUUGCGUUUUCAAUUCAGAUGUUGAUUGUCCAAGUAAACAGAGAAUUCUAAUUUAAUAUAAUACACAUGCAAGGCUAUGCAUUGAGUAACAAAUUUAUGUUUUGCAUGCUUUCAUACAAGACAACAAAUGUGAAAGCAACAUCCCAAAAAUGUACAAACAUUGCUAAAAUGCAUUAGAAAAAUAAUAAUUACAUAUUUAUUUAGUGUUAUUAUCACAUGGAUAAUGAUAACUUUAUUUUAUUGUGUUCAUGCUAAUUAUAUUUUUUAUUAUUACUGUAUUUGUCUGCGGUGAGAUAUGUAGUCAAGAAUCGCAUAUGAGUUUGACAAUCCGUAGCAACGCACUGGCAUUCCAUGUCCUCCGUUCGUUGGCUCUGCCACACACGUCUCCCAUACUUUGUGCUCGUUGGCCCGAAGCCUCGCAUGAUGCGGAACCUGCCUCUCGCUCGAUGCUCAAUUAAUAAUUUGGUACUCCCCUGCACCACCACGGUGAAAACACCGAUUCUCUUUACGCAUCGUCCGACACCACCGCCUGGCUCCAGUUCCAACAGCCAGGCAAACUCCUGUGCCUAUUAGGGCAUGUACAUUAGUUUAGACAAUUGGCGCCUGUAAAAGAAUAUAUAGACAAUACUAUAUAGAGCAUAUACAACAAUCUAUCUGUAAAAGGUCUAUUUUUAGCCUAACUAUAUGUGAGUACAAGUUACAGACACCAUUCAUACAACAAUAAAAUUAUGAUCUGUAAGCUGUCUGUAAACAUGCUAGAGCUAUAUAUAAUUCUACAAACACCUUCACUCUCUCUCCUCAUUCUCUUUCUUCCACGUCACCUUCACCAUACGCGAGCGGCCCACUUUCAAAUCUUCUACUCCGUAUUUAAACUUUUCCAACUAAUUUUUUUAAAAUUUAAAUAGGAUAUUUGAGAAUUAAACUAAAAGUGGGCAUGCAACCAUUCACUAGUUUUGAGAUCCAAGGAGCCGAUUCGAACUCGAUGCUAAAGGAAAGGUUUAGAAUUUUAAGGGUAAUCUUACCUCGUAGCUCGGGAAGCCCUCUUCGGCCAAAGCUCCAAGAUAACCUUCACCAUGGCACCUCUCCUAACGUAGCACUAGGAAGCGCUCCAUCGAGAUGACCGAACUGUUUAAAAAUAACCGUUGUGUCAACUUUGUUGAGUAUAGGACGCCCUUUGUUCAUUAGGUCGCCAUAUACAUGACCUUAUGCCUUAAGUCCUUAACCGUCAUGCAUCCAGUAGUUUGGGAGACCAACUCAACAACAAACUUGACAUCGCAACUAGGUGGCAAAACUGGUAACUUUCCGGAAAAAAAAUCAAGUAAGCUAUCCUCUCCUGGUUACUCUCUUUUGUAGCUUGGCUGAUUCUUGCUUAAAAUCACAACAAUCACCUGACUUUGUCAGCAUAUGAGUAUUAGCUUUGUCUAAUUCUGUAGCGUCAUUACCAGUUUUUUCCGGAAAGUAACCAGUUUUGCCACCUAGUUGUGAUGCUGACAAAUCAGGUGAUUAUUGUGAUUUUUUCAUAAUCAAAUGGUUCACGCAACCCCACAACAAUCAUGCUUGGAGAGCAAGCUGGGACGAAACAAUUUCAAAAGAAUCUUGAAAUUGAGAUGCAUGUGUGCAAGAGUAAUACUUGCUAUUCUUCAAGUUGAUUGCUAUGUUCACUCAGUUUUGAAGGUCAGAGAAAUUGGACGAAAUUUGUUUGUAUCAGAUUACGAGUUCCCUUAUGAGAAUUUUCAUGUUAUUAGUUUUGUUAGUACUACAAACACAACAAGAUGGCUCAUAGAACUUAGACGAUUAUAAAGGGUGAGACUGAUAUGACGCGGGCGUAUUUAUACGUCUCAAGAGUAAAAAUGAAUUUGUUUGCAACCAUGUGAAGAUUUUGGUUUGGCCUAUAGCUAAAAGGUUAAAAUCUCAAAAUGGUUUCGAGCGUAAGAAAGAGUAAAUUUGCUUUGGCCCUUUAUGGCGUCCAACUAACCGGGCGACCUAAAACCCCAAAAGGAGCAAUCACUUUUGUUUAAAGAGCAAUCCAACAGCCGCAAACUCCCACCCUGCCAAACCAACGGCCGGAUGGGCCAUCAAGCUCCUCUGCGCCAUCUAGUAUAAAAUCUCUCCAAGACCUAGGCGCUAAAACCCUCGCGGCGGCGCCUCUCUUUUCUCCCUCUUCCCACCCGCCGCAGCCAAAACCCCUCCUGCUUCUUACUCUCCAUAGCUCAAUCGGCGCAAGGUUCGUGUGGUUCUUUUGUUCCGGCUGCCUGAAUGUGUUGUUCAAACACACACUUCUUCUUCACUUCUUGAGUUAUUGGGAUUGAUUCGGCUGUGUGGCUGUUCUUGUGAUCCAGGUGAGGAGGGGUCGUUUGUUCUGAGUUUAGUUGCGGAUUGGUGAGAGAUGUUGGUGUUGUUCGAGACGCCCGCGGGGUUCGCCCUCUUCAAGGUGCUCGACCAGGGCAAGCUUGACAAGGUCGAGGUGAGUGGUCUUCGCCGUCUCAGCUCUUGGUUUCGUUGUGGUUACUAACGUUUGGUUUGUUCUCUGAGUGUUUCUUGGACUGAUGGAGCUUUGUGUUCUUUUUUGCUUGUAGGAUCUAUGGAAGGAGUUCACGACGUCGGACUCCGCAAGAAAGGUUUGUGCCUUUUUCUGUUAUUUCCACGGCAAAAGAACUUCCAAACCUUUAGUUGCAGGAUCUAUCAUUACAGACCAGUAUUUUAAGCAAGAAUCCAUGAUGUCCUCCUGAUAUGUGUUACUUUUUGAAAUGUAUGUACAUAUUGGUUCGGGCUACUGGUUGAUGUUUGUCUGACACUUAUACCUGCAAAGAACACUCCCCAACUGAAUACCCUUCAGCAGGCUUAUAUAUGAUCUGUGCGGAAUACCUUGCUGGGAUUAUGACAGUAGAAUAGUGUACUUUCCAUCAACUUUAAAAAGUGAUACGCUACAUUGAUAAACCCACUGUUUUUGUGAGCCUAUUAUUAUUAUCUUAUUGAAAGAAGGGGAUGCUGUACGGUUCACUUCUAUCUCCUGAUUUAUAUAUUUUCUUCCCUGACAAUGUUUAGACAUUGACUGGGCAUAUGUUUGUUCUGUUACUUCCUGGUGAUAUCUAUUGUAAUUUACCAUAGUGAUUUAUAGGUUAUAGUAAUGUGAAGUUCUCGAUGAGCCUUUUCGGUAAUUUGUAUCUGUCUUGCAAUCCCGGCAUGCAUCUUCUGCAUCAUUAAUCUGGUUACUGACUGAAUAAAUUUAUUUUAGGUGGUUGAGUUGAAGGCUUUCAACAAGUUUGAGAACACAUCUGAUGCCCUUUCUGCUGCAACCCUCAUUAUUGAUAGCAAGCCAACCAAGGGUUUGCGAAAGUUCUUGCAGAAGCACUGUGAGGGUGAAACAUUGGCUGUUGCUGAUUCUAAACUUGGAAAUGCUAUAAAAGAGAAGCUGGUCAGUUAGGUCCCUUAGUUGUUUUGUUCUGCCGAGUUACCAAUUCCACUUACAAGUUAGUUCGAUGUGCUUUCACAGAAAAUUGACUGCGUUCACAACAGUGCUGUGAUGGAGCUGAUGAGAGGGCUGAGAAAUCAGCUUACUGAGCUUAUAUCUGGGUUGGGCACACAAGACCUUGGUCCAAUGAGCCUGGGAUUGUCUCACAGCCUGUCCAGGUAUAAGCUGAAGUUCAGUCCUGAAAAGGUGAGUCUGAUAGUCGCGAUGUUAUCUCUUUUGUGUUACGUUGUACGGAGUACCUCAUUUCUGGCUCCAAUAUUUUAUGAUUUGCCACUAUUAUCUUUCAGCAUUUUUCAUGUUAUGCUUCUGCAUGGUCUCAUGCUUUUCCUGGCCUAUUGUGUUGCUAUUUAUUUAGCUUGCAUUUGCAAUACUUCUAUAUAUGGCUGUUAUGACCUAUGCUUCGCCAUUAAUAUCUUCCAGCAUGUUCCAUGUUAUAUUGUAAUCAUGAUCUUGUUGGCCUUUUCUGUUGAUAUUUAUUGAAUUACAAUUGCAAUAUUCAUGGAAGUUACCGUCUUGGUAAUGAGAUUGUAAUAUUUUUUGUUUGUAGAGAAUCCUUAUUGGACAUGGACAAGUGAUCUAAUGCUAUAAUGUGUCCGGUUCAACAGGUUGAUACCAUGAUCAUUCAGGCCAUUGGCUUAUUAGAUGAUCUUGACAAGGAGCUUAACACUUACGCAAUGAGGGUUCGUGAAUGGUAUGGUUGGCACUUCCCAGAGCUCACUAAAAUAGUGACAGAUAAUAUAGAGUAUGCAAAAGUUGUGAAGUUGAUGGGCAAUAGGACUAAUGCGGUCAACCUCGAUUUCUCAGAGGUAAAUUGUCGACAUGUCUAAAUAGUAAAUGCGAGUGCCAUUCUUAUGCACAAAAAUUGCUUAAUAAGGAACUCUGGUUUGUUCAGAUACUGACAGAUGAUGAGGUAGAAGCACAGUUAAAGGAAGCUGCAGUAAUAUCCAUGGGAACAGAAGUUAAUGAUCUUGACUUGUCAAAUAUUAGGGAACUUUGUGAUCAAGUCUUGUCUCUUUCUGAGUACAGAGCCCAGCUUUAUGAUUAUCUGAGGAGUAGGAUGAACACAAUUGCACCUAAUUUGACCGCACUCGUGGGUGAAUUAGUUGGUGCUCGCCUUAUUUCUCAUGGUGGCAGUCUGCUAAAUUUGGCCAAGCAGCCUGGCAGCACAAUUCAGAUACUCGGUGCCGAGAAGGUGAGUUUAGUCUAUUAUCUUACACACGUUCAAUCUUCACAUUCAGUUUUCUGUGUGAUCUUGUCAUAUUUCUUCUUUGAUAUUUGUAUCCUCCAGUCAAUUUGUUGGUGACAAGCAAGUUGAAUGCACACAUGUUCUCUUUUGUACCAUCUAUUUUCUAAUAAUGUUGUGAUCACAUCAAUCGAUGGCAUUGCUGCAAAAGAAUUAUUUACAUUGUCUGUAACAUACUUAUGAAUUUGCCUUUCUAGCCGCCCCAAAAGAACUGAACUCUGCAUUUCUCUCCAGGCUUUAUUCAGAGCUUUGAAGACAAAGCAUGCUACACCUAAGUAUGGUCUCAUCUACCAUGCAUCCUUAAUUGGUCAGGCCGCUCCAAAGCACAAGGGGAAGAUUUCUCGUUCGCUUGCUUCAAAAGCUGCUCUUGCAAUCCGGUAUGAUGCUCUUGGUGAUGGUGAAGAUAACUCCAUUGGUCUUGAGAGUCGACUGAAGGUAUAUUCAUGGUGGCGAAAGAUCAUUCCUUUUCAGUAUAUUCUGUGAGGGAUUAGCUGACAUGAAAAAUAUUUGAACAGCUUGAAACACGGCUUCGUGUUCUCGAGGGUAAAGAACUUGGGAGAUCUGCAGGUUCCACAAAGGGGAAGCCCAAGAUAGAAGUGUAUGAAAAAGACAGGAAGGGUGCUGGUGCUUUAAUUACUCCUGCCAAGGUAAGCAGUUUCAUGUUUGUCUGUCUCAAAUAUUCUGUGGAGGCUUCCCAACGAUAGGUAACAAGGACCAAUAAUAGUGUAGAUGUAUUCUGUUGUCUUGGCAAUAAGAAAGACAAAUAUUUGUCAGAACUGUUGAGCUCUGUUAGACAAUGUAAAUGGCACCCACAUAUUUUGUUUCCAUUAGACUUAACACUAAUAAUUAUCACUUGUGGAAUUCAUCUUAAUUCUUUGCAUUUCUCAGACGUACAAUCCUUCAGCCGAUCUUGUUCUUGCAAAAUCUGCCGAAGAACCAGCAAAGAAGCCUGAGACGGCUUCAAAGAAGAGGAAACAUGAUGAGGCGGAGACUGCACCAUCAACAGAGCCUGCAGGGGAAGCAAUUCAGGAGGAUGGUGACCAGGAGGUUCGGAAGAAGAAGAAAAAGAAGUCCAAGGACAGUGAGGAAUCUGCUGCAACGAAUACCAAUGGUGAGAAGAAAAAGAAGUCCAAGGGGGGCAAAGAGGAGCCUGCUGGCAGCGAGAAGAAGAAAAAGAAGAACUCUGAUGUACAAGACAGCAAGAUUGUUGCGAUGGAAACCGAGUCUGGUAAGAAAGACAAAAAGAAGAAGAAAAAACAUACUGAUGAGUGAUGAAUGAGCUAUUUGCUAGAGAAGGGAAGAAAGCCAAGUAAUUUUUGGUGGGCUUGGGUUGAAUCGCUGUUCUGUAAAAUGGCAAUUUACUGGCUAUUCAAUGUCAGUUAGCCGUAGUAUAGGAACCUUGCUGCGUUUAAUUUUCUCAUGCAGCUGUAUUGAACAACUUACACUAUUUGGACAACUGGUAAAAUUCAAACUUUUGUUCCAUCCAUACAAAAAUAUGCUGGUUCAUUAUAUGUGAAAUAGAUUUUUUAUAUACAGAAAUGUAAAACUAAACAAUGCAACGAAUCAUGGCACAGUAAACACUAGCAUUUUUUGUUUAAGUUUGUUCAGAAAUGAGUACCGACCGGCCAAAUGGGUACCCAAAAGGCAACCAAAACCAUCUGAUCAAAUGGGACUGAUAUGUGUUUCUUUUCAGUUUGUAAGCUCACUUGCUUGAGGAAUAGGUAAAAACUAAUUACAUAUACAUUAAUUUAUAUGCAAGUUUGGUCUUCAUUGUGCAACCAAACAAUGCAUGAAAGAGAGAGGUGCCAAUCCAUGUUGCAGUAGUACUUACGUCUAACCUUAACCAGAUGCUUCUUGGUUCUUGGUUAUUGUAACUUCUGAGAUAGACCUUAUAAACUGAAAAUGAGAGUACGAUGUAGGAACAUGUACAAGGAAAAAAAUGUUUCUGCAUGUAUGUUUUAAAUUGAAAAAGAGAUGUUCUGAGAGCAUACUGAAUGCUGACCUGCGUUAACAUUAUAUGUAUCGGAGAUACCUAUGUUAUCAUUAUAUAUAUCAGAGAUUAUACAACGUCACCGAUUAGAUAGAGUGCGCCAAGUUUAUAACAUGAGAGGGCAACUGUAAAUGAAAAACAAUCAUCGCAUACUCAUACAAGACCAACAUGUUGGAGCAUAGCGUCACCCAAGGCCUGUAAGGUAGAAAAAUAGCCGGAACAUAAAAAAGCUUAAAAUACAAAUGUACACAAUAUAUAAAAAGUAGAAGCACUUGUGACCGUCGGGUAAGUAGAUAUCAAUAUGCAAGAAUCCCCCACACGUCUCCUCACACCCCUACGUCGAGCACCAUAUUCAAGAUCCCCAUUCCCUUCACUUAGAGAAGCAACCCUUUCCCUUCGAGCGUUCUCAUUGCAGAGAAUCGUGGUCACGAGAAGAUUUAAACGCUGUAAAAUGAAGAUAUAUUAGAACAUGCAAGUUAGUGAAAAUACUAAUAAAAUAUAGAUAUAUAUAGCGUCAAAAAUGAAGACGGUGUAACCAUCGGGUAUAAGAACACAUGUGGGAGGGGCAUCAACCAUGAUAACAUCAUAACAAUAUCCCAAAGCAAUACCACAUAUACAUAUGCCAAGAAUUACGUGAAACAUAGCUUGCUUUUUUUUUGCGAAAAAUGAAACAUAGCUUGCUAAGUUGCUAACCCAUUGGUUUUUAUGCACCAUACCCAGAAGAGCAAUUGGAAAGCAAAUAUAAGAAGAAAAAAAAAUUGAAUCCAUCCCACCGUUUCUCUAGCUUGUGUACCUACUGUUUUAGCCCCCCAGAUGCUGAAAGCACUAAUCACACUAAGAGUUUUUUUUUUGCGAGUAAUCACACUAAGAGUUGAAGGUGCAAUAUUGGUAUUCUCAUUUUGAGACUUGAGGAAUAUAAGAUCUUUCGCAUCUAGCAAUGCAAUUGAAGAAAACUGUGUGCACAUCAUGACCCAAGCAUCGUAAGAUAGAAAAAUAGUCACAACAUGUAGUAAAGUUUGAAAUACAAAAAACUAAAACACAUUAUGGAAAAAAGAUAUCCGCAGGUAAACAUGCGGCUUCCAUCCAUUUUGGGCAUUAUCACCUUGGUUGUGAUGUACACACAAAGACAUCCGGCAACGCAUGGUCCAUCACAUCUGACCAUGUCACAUAAUUCCUAAUAAACAUUUUUUUUGUUGCUUCGGCCAUGGUGCUACAUGUCUUACUGCAACUUAUCUAUAUAUAAAAUUUGUUUUUUCAAUGCCCUUAUAUAAGAGAUGGACAAUUACGCAUAAAGUGAUUGAGCUUGUAGUUAUACUCCCUCCUUUUUCUAUAUCUGUUAAUAUAUGAAAGGGUUAUCAAAGUGUAUCCACAUUUGGACCCCUAAAGCAUAAUUAAUAAUGCUAUAAUUCAUCACAUACUUUCCCUAGGAAAAUAAUUUUAGUGUUGAUCCUACUGGGUGAGGCGAGUUGGAGCUGAGAAGAGAGUGUAGAAAAACUGAACGAAUGAUACAACUAAUUGCAUGGGAGAUUUGAGUGCAGUCACCAAGAGCAAAUGCCUAGCUAUGGAUUUUUUGUCUGUAAAAGGUUAACUAUAUCAAUAUUUAGAAACAGAGGCAGCACAUACUUAACUUUUCAGAAACUGAGGUUAAUACAUAGUUGAAGGAAUCCUGAUCAUGAUUGGUUGACUGAGUUUCAUGAACCAGUCAUGUCCAACUCAACUUUCGAGGCUAUCUUGGUAUUGGUUGUGGGAAACAUUGAGCUGGAGAAUGACAUAUAUUGCCACUUACAUAACUAUGAAUGUGACAAGAUCCUCCUAUCUUCAUGACUCAUCUUCUCUUUUCGAUCGCCUCACCCUUUGCAGUUGUCCUCACCAUUUUCAUUUUCGUUGUUGGUCUGUCUACUGCGACAAUGUCAUGAAGUUAGGGCAUCGGUGCGUCCUCUUUUGAAUCUGGUGGCCGGUGGGAAGUUGUUAUCCGUUCAACCCCUAUUAACCUCUGUAUUGUCGCUGUAGUUGAGAUCAUCAGUCAAUCUCCACCUUUCCACUUCCCUUUGUUCAUUUUUUUCUUAUUUCUCCUUCCCUUCUCCCUCCUAUGCUUGCAUCACCACAGUCACACACAUAUCAUGCCCACGAUUAUCUAACCGCACAAGUACGUUGUCAAGUCUAAGUUAAUCACUAACACCAGCCCGUAGUCGUGACAUCACCAGGGAGAAGCAUAAACCUGACCCGAACUCCUAAAAUAACGCAAUAGAUGGGCCUUAAUAAUGACAUCUACGAAUUGCUGAUUUGUUGGCAACACAGGAGCAUUUGCUUUGUAAGACUCUGAGACAUUACAUGAAAAGAAAAUAAGAGCAUAUACAAUGGUUGAUGAGAUCACCUUCUCUUAUGUAUCACACGUCACUUAGAAAGGACAACAAAAUAUGUUGUACAAUGGGUCAUUCUUAGUGUCUUAUCUUAGAAUUAAUGCUUAGGUGAAUAAAAUUAAUUAAAUAAAUGCUAAAGAAAAGGUAAAAUCUAGUACAUGGAGAAAUUUGACUUUUCUUUGCCUUAUCAUUCUUGUGAAGAGAUCAUCUCUUACCUAAAACAAGGCUCAUGUAUUUUUUUUCAUUCUUCUCUCUUUCACAUCAACAAUUAUCCUAUAUGGCAUCGUUAAAAAAAUGCUGACAUCACCUCAUUAUACAUGACUAAGGAAGAAUAAACCCAUAGCCCGUUGGAUGAUUCCUUCGUACUCGGAGUAUUUAAAUCAGAGAUUGAGCGUGGACGAAACAAAAAGAAGCAAGAUAGCUGUGGAAAAAACAAGCAAAGCAAACAAAAGCCAAAAAGGCUGGCCAUGUUUUACUCCUAAUCCUCUGUCACUUUCCCUUCAUCAAAGUCCAUUCUUUAUCACCCUCACAUGGAUCACAGGUACAGAGGCCAGGGAGGGAGAGAGAGCCAUCGGCAUCGGAGCGAGUCAAACCCUUCUCAACAGUCCACUCCCAGCUCGCUCGGUCCCCUCUCCUCACUCACUCACUCGCGCCGUCCACUUUACUCCGCUCGCCCCAUGCGCUGCCGCCGCCGCUGGUAACCGACCCCCAUGGGCUGCGUCCACGGCCGCCCCUCCCCCGCCCCUACGCCCGCCCGCCCGCCUCCCCAACCGAAGCCUGAGCAGGCGCCGCCGCAGGAGGCCGCUGGACCCGACAAGGGCGAGCAGCCUGUCCCUGCCCCGGCCGCCGCGGCGGCGGCGGCGGUAACCGAGAAGCCGGCCAGGAGGGAGAGGCGCUCCCGGUCGUCGCGCUCCGUCGCCGAGGCCCGCCUCGGCGGCAGCUUCGUCAACAGGGCGCGGGGGGAGCAGGUCGCCGCCGGCUGGCCCGCCUGGCUCUCCGCCGUCGCUGGCGAGGCCAUCGACGGCUGGACCCCGCGCCGCGCCGACUCCUUCGAGAAGAUCGACAAGGUACGCGCGCCCUUUCUCCAUGCCCGGUUCCGUGGCCUUUAGCGGCCGCCAUUGACGCUGAAGGAAGCUUUGCGUCUUUUGGGGGGCAGAUCGGGCAGGGCACGUACAGCAACGUGUACAAGGCGCGGGACACGCUGAGCGGCAAGAUCGUGGCUCUCAAGAAGGUUCGCUUCGACAACCUCGAGCCCGAGAGCGUCCGCUUCAUGGCCCGCGAGAUCCUCAUCCUCCGCCGUCUCGACCACCCCAGCGUCAUCAAGAUCGAUGGCCUCGUCACCUCCCGCAUGUCCUGCAGCCUCUACCUUGUCUUCGAGUACAUGGAGCACGACCUCGCCGGGCUCGUCGCCAGUCCGGACAUCAAGUUCACUGAGCCACAGGUCUCCAAGAUCCCAAUGCUGAUGCCUCUAUGACACUGUGAUGAAAUGUGACCUAAUCAAGGUGUCUCUGGCUUGCUCGCAUGCAGGUUAAGUGCUAUAUGAACCAGCUGUUGUCUGGGCUGGAGCACUGCCAUGACCGUGGGGUGCUGCACCGUGACAUCAAAGGGUCGAAUCUGCUUUUGGAUAACAAUGGCAUGCUGAAGAUUGCAGAUUUUGGCCUGGCGUCAUUCUUUGAUCCGAGCCGUAAGCAGCCGAUGACGAGCAGGGUUGUGACACUAUGGUAUCGCCCACCGGAGUUGCUUUUGGGUGCUACUGAUUAUGGGGUGGGCGUGGACCUGUGGAGUGCUGGGUGUAUUCUUGCUGAGCUGUUGGCUGGAAGGCCUAUUAUGCCAGGCCGGACUGAGGUUAGCAAUAACAUACUUAGUUGUUUGGAUAUCAAUAUAUAAAAUUUCUUAUAGCAAGCAUUUGAUGGAAUUAAGUCAAACGCAUGUCGCUCUAAGAGUCUUGGGUUAAGCUAGAUUCAGUUAAAGUGCCACAUACUGUAGUUUAUUGUACUGACAGAAAACCUUCCAAUUUGCAACUUCAAGUCUAUCCAUGCAUCAAUCCAUCAGAGGAAUUACAAAAGCUUUUUUUUUUUUGCUUUUCCCCUCUUGGGGGAUGCCUUGUCUAGAGUUUUAGUGAAAACAAGUUCUACUUUUAAAUGCUUCUGUAUCAUGUUUGUGGCAUAACAUUCUUAAGUAACCAAGUCAUGUCAGCAUAGAAGGUUAUGAAAUUAGUUACACCUGAUGUGGAAUCAUUCAUAUGCGUCGAAAUCUUUUUUUUUCACCACAUGUUUUCUGUGUUUAAGCCUUCAUUCCUCAUUUCGUUUUGCAUUUGAGGCUAGCCUUUCUUCUGCAACUGUGUUUAAUAUGACCUGCCACACUGUUUACAAUUAAUGUUGGUCAGACUUUAGACCUACCAAUCCAAUGAAUAGCUAUUGUUCUUACCUUCCCGUGUAUCAUAUAAUUUGACUAUGUUUGCCCCUUUUAGGUGGAACAACUGCACAAAAUUUUUAAGUUGUGCGGCUCCCCCACAGAAGAAUAUUGGAAAAAGUCGAAAUUGCCUCAUGCAACGAUAUUUAAGCCUCAGCAGCCAUAUAAAAGGCGAAUCACAGAUACAUUCAAAGAUUUUCCACAAUCAGCAUUGCGGUUGAUCGAAACACUACUUGCAAUUGAUCCAGCAGAUCGAUUGACAGCGUCCUCUGCACUGCAAAGUGAUGUAAGCCAGCUAUGAUCUCUUACUAUCCUCUCCCUCUUUGACUAUCAGCUUGAAAUUCCGCAUUUUGUUGAAGUCAUUGCCUCCUUAUACGUAGUAUUUAGACAAGGUGGUUGACACAGGAAAUAUAUGUCUGUACAGUAACCAUACCUUUUUCCUGUUGGAAACUGGGGUUCCAGAGCGUAGUGUUUCCACUAGAUUAUAGUAUUGCUUUUAGCUGGUAGCUGUCGCAUGUUGUACUUGUAGCCAAUGAGAGUAGCUGAUAUUCUAUUUCAUACCCAAAAAACCAGUUUUUUUGUCUGGAACCUGGCAAAGUGGCAUGCAUCUCUUAAUGGCUUUUAACAUGAUAUUCUCAUUUGGACCAUGACAUCUUAUCUCACCCGAAACAUCGACCUUUCAUUGAGUGCUUCCAUACUAUCCAAAGUUCUAAAUUGCACAAACCUCAAAUCAGUACUGUUAGUAGCACAUUGGUAGGGACUCCAAAUUUUGCAUUAAAUAUUGUUAUCCUGAACUUUUCGGAGAGCAUUGAAGCACCUCCUACCAGAUAUGAUCACUGUAGUUUAGUAAGCUGUUGUGGGAUUCUACUUAGGCUUCUACUUAUGUCACUUUAUAUGAUCAAAGUGUAAAUUUUGAUCUCCGUUUCGUACAUUUGGUUUAUGAAUACUCUUGACGUUCCUUUUUUUUGGUACCCCCACGCAUUUUGAUUCAACUUUGACCAAGCAAUGCAAGUUAUGUGAACACACAAGUAAUAUUACUGUAAAACUUCUGAAUAUGAAUCCAUUGAUAUCACUUAUGUGUCACAUAGCCAAAAUUUAUCGGUGCAAAUAUUGGUCGAAGUUAAAUCUUGAAAUGUGUGGGCGUGUUAUUAAAAAUAGAGGCGUAAAGUUGGACAACAUUUUAACUAGAUCUUUUUUAACCAUAUAUGUUGAUAUUAUAUCGGAUUGUUUUAUUAAAGAAUUAUUACUUGCUAUGUACAGUUCUUUACAACUGAACCUUAUGCAUGCGAGCCAUCAAGUCUCCCAAAAUAUCCUCCAAGCAAAGAAAUGGAUGCAAAACGAAGAGAUGAAGAAGCCAGACGGUUUGUCACCUUGAUACUCAUUUGUAUAUUUUGUUACUAUUUUCUUUUUUUUCCUUGGCUAUCUCUUUGUGGUUCUUCAUAUGCCAUAUUCAACAUUUUCAGGUGGCCAUUUGAGAUAUAUUUUUAUAUACAAAAAUCUCAUACGUGAUAUUAGGUAGCGUUUGGUUGAGGGCAUGAGGUAGAAUGGCGUGGAACCAUAUGAUUCCACCACUUUUGAGGAACCAUUUGGUCCGCAUAAGCAGGGAAUAUUCCCCAUCAUAGAAAAAAGUCGUUCCAUCUCACUUUGCCUCAUUCCUUGAACGAAACACAUAAAUGUGCUUAGAUUCUAGAACCGUUCCAUUCUGUGAUACUUGAUAGUACCAACCAAAUGCUACCUUAGUAUCGGACCCGUUGCUUGACAAAUGGAAUAUUUUCUCUGCUGGCAAACUGAGCUGAACAUUUUAGUGCUUAGUGAACUCUUGAAGGAACCAACAUAGAUUCAUAGGUAUUAGAUAUUUGCAUGUACAUCUGUAAUAUGGUUCAAGCAACUCGGUACACAUCUUCAAUGUAGAUCACAAAAGCUAAACUGUAAUUUAACCAAACGUUUGCUGGCAUUUGGUAUAUGUCUGGCUUUCUUGUAACUUGUAAGUAACAUGUCCGUUACAGGUAGAGGAAAAAGAGACGAAAGAUGGCACAAAAGGGUCACGCGGCAAAGUAGAAUAUAGGAGUAAAAAAAGUAUUUCUUACCCCAGAAAGUAAUUAUAUUGCACUGCACUUACUGAUACAGUGGGGUAAAUUUAAGCGCACAUUCAUCUUUAUCUUUACUUCUUAUAAAGAUCUGAGUUGGUGGCCAUCCGUUCACCCCAUUGAAAUUAUUCCCUAUAUUGCCAGGAAUCGAAUGUAAUUGCACCCAUUGAAUAUGAUAGAUAUGUGUGCCAUGAUCUUUUGACUACAAUUGACUGGAUUGAUGUAUAUUUUGAGAUAAUUGCUAUCCAGUACAAAAUUUAGGAACAUAUGGAUAUGAGCAAAAGCGUAUUUAAGCAACUUAUGCAAAGUAAUAAUAACAAUUUCGUAAGAACGCACGUGCAUUUAGCUAUUUUGUGCUUAAAUUUGCACUAUUGGUUUAUGCCAAGAUUCAAGGAUUACCUCAGAAUAUGCUAUGUAGACCUCAUCACUAAGUCAAUAUUCAUUUAGUCUCAUCAUUCCGGACCACUUUAAUAAAAAUUUCGCUCAUCAAUUGCCCCAUUCAAUGUAAAUAGCCAAAUUUCCUAAGUCAUUUAGUCUCAACCCAUGUUUUCUGUUCAUGCCUUCAAUGUGAGUUGACCGCCUGAAUGCUGCUCUCUGACUUAUUCAUGAUAUGAUCAACAGUUCAAGAGCUGCUGGUGGUAGGGCUAAUGGUGAUGGAACUAAUAAGGCAAGGUCACGUGAUCGACCUAGGGGAGUUCCAGCUCCAGAUGCAAAUGCUGAGCUUCAAAUAAAUAUUGAUGUAUGUUGAAUGAACUUGCUCCCUUACCAAUUUCAAUUAUUUUAUAUUUGUUCUAUGAGCUGGUUUUGUUUGGAGGGUAGUUAUGCAAGUUUAAGCCUGAGUUGCUUAUAAUUGAACCGAGGUGGUGGCAUCACUUCCUUGGUCUCAGUUCCUUCACAUUAACAACAGUUCAGCCAAUUUUAUUUCCUCAUCCCAAGUAUAUGAAUUGUAGUUCUGAUGAUCAGCCUUUCUUUUACUAGGAAUGGCCCAAAAGGUUGCCCCUGCUCUCGUAAUGCUGCUCACUCAUGUUUAAUUGUUUUACAGAAAAGAAGGUUAGUAAGUCAUGCAAAUGCGAAAAGCAAGAGUGAAAAAUUUCCUCCCCCACAUCAGGAUGGUGCGGUCGGUUUCCCUUUGGGUUCUUCAAAUCAAAUGGACCCGCUAUAUGAACCCGCAGAUCCAACUUCCUUCAGCACCAUGUUUGCUCAUGAGAAAAGCUCCGUGCCUACUUGGUCUGGGCCAUUGGUCAAUCCUUCCGCAGUUGGGAACCAAAAGCGGAAACACAAAUCCAGCCGCUCGUCAAAACAACCAGCCACUGCCCGUGCUCGGUAAGAUCCCGAGAAGUGGUAUUCUUUUAGAGAAAAUGAGUCUCCGAAAUAUGGAGAUAUAUACUCUGCGGCAUUCCCUGUACAAUGUUUGGCAAACGAGGCAUGUGAUGAUAAAUUAGUUGCUUCGGGAAUUAUUCAAUGCACUUUUUCUCUCUGAACAUCAUUGUAUAGACAGGGGAAGGACUUCAAGUAGUUUACUUGUGUACAUUAGGUUCUCCUUUUGUGUUGUUAUAAGCAGGUGCAUUUGAUGUUAGAUUCAUUCGAGUGGAAGCUUAGAUCCCUAGCAUUUCAGGACAUUCCCUUCCAUUGUAACACCUUUUUUAAUUGCAACCGAUAUAAUCAUUUCUCAUCAAUUCAAUGGAAAUCAUGAACUGGUGUUUUGAAUGAAGAGUUGGAUGUGGUACUUGCAAAUUUACCAGUCGUAGUUUAGGUUUGAGGACUCUUUAAUUUAUUUAUUUUGCAUGGGAUGUAGGAGUAUUUUAUUUAUUUAUUUCUGUGGCACAUUUCAUCCAUUUGUACACUGCUUAAAAAGGAAAGUAUCAAUCCAACCUGAGCUGCCAGUUCUUGUAUUUGGUAUUCAUAAUGUGAUUCUUACUACAUACAUCAUGCAUUUCAAGUCAGAAAAUGAGUCUUUUCUUUGAUAAGAACUGGAUUAUGGCUUAUGAGCAGGGAAGGACGUUUGUUGACCUACCUUACAAUGUGUUUUGAGCUUGUUAUGUAAGUUAUCUUUUAAAAGUAGCUCCGAAAGAGCUAAUGUCCUGUUUAACAGACCACAUUAAGAUUCAAGUACUGAUCCGAAAGUACAAAAGGUAUCAUAAUCUACUAGUCUGUUUCUCAUAUUAAGUGACUUUUUGUUACAUGUAUCUAGACGUUUUUUAGGCAUAAAUAUAUCCAUAUUUGGACAAAUUUGAGUCAUUUAAUAUGGGACGGAUGGAUUACAACACAACCAUGACGCUUCAACUUCUUAGUCAAUUCAUCGACCAUAGGCAGUCAUCUAACUUCCAGCAGAAAAAGAAGUUUGAUAUCUUUAACAAAUACUGAUCGAUCGUUGACGAGAUCCAGGUAUUUGUUGGCACCAGAGUCAUCUUGGCUUGGUGCGUUGGUUCAAUACACCUGAAUCCACCACUUUCCAGAGGAGAUUGAAUAGGCUUUGAACUCUCACUGUAAUCCUCCCUCCAUUUAAAUGCAAUCUCCUUUCUCCAAAAAUAAUAAUUUUUUUCUUCAAAUUCCCAAGUACUUUUUCCGUCCAACAAAGAAUGUCUCAAUUUUGACUAAAUUUGAAUGCAUCUAUACACUAAGUCAUGUCUAAAUACAUCCAAAUUUUGACAAAUUUAAGACAUAUUUUAUUGGACGGAGAGAGAGUAUGUUUCAUCUCUCUAUUUCCAAAUAUAAGGCCAACCAAUGAAUUUAUAUGCCAAACUUUGACCGAUUAUUAGACAAAUAUAUUUUUCAAUACAAAUACAAUAAUAUCAAUUUUGCAUCUAAUAACUUUAUACCACUAGUCUAAUAAUUGGUCAAAAUUUGUCAUAAAAAUUUAUAUUGGGUUUUUUUGACCAUUUCUCGAUUUGUGCGUGCGCAGGGGCCAUGCUAACCUUCUCUGUAUCGUUUCAAUUUUAUCGGAUGUCCCCUGAGGGACAAAUUUAUAUUGGUUUAUAUAAAGUAGAGUACUUUCUGCCCACAAAAAAUGAGGUCCUACUUCUACCCAAGCACCCCACACUCAAAUCCGUUGGUCAAGCCGGACCAGGCGGCCAGGCCCAAGCCUGCCGUCCGUUGCUUCCCAGAUUGGAUCCCCAACCCUGCCGUCCUGCGGGAUGGAGAAGAAGAGUUGCCGGCCGCCGCCGGCCAGCUUCCUCACCGAUGACCUCGUCGUAGAGAUCCUCUCCAGGUUGCCUUACAGGUCGCUCUGCCGCUUCAAGUGCGUGUCCACAUCAUGGCUCGCUCUCUGCUCCGACCCUGCUCUCCGCAAGAAGUCGCCCCAGACCUUGUCCGGCUUCUUCUACCACAGCGUGCGAAAGAGGGAUCCAUUCGAGCCCUCUGACCACCGUUGCCACUUCACUAAUUUGUCGGGCAGAGGGCGGCCUAUGGUUGACCCCUCUCUCUCCUUCUUGCCCAGCUGUGCAAGGAUCCUGUUCGUCGAUUGCUGCAAUGGUCUUCUGCUGUGCCGCUGCUUCAAGAUGCCAUCGCUGUCUCGAUCUUACUAUGUUGUGUGUAAUCCUGCUACUGAGAAGUGGACCGUGUUGCCGGACACAAAAGCGAUGCAGGGAUUUUACACAGUUCGUUUGGGAUUUGAUCCAGCCGUGUCGUCCAAUUUCAGAGUGUUUUUGCUCGUGCAGAGCGGGGUGGGAAAUUUGGACAUUCCAGUCACUGGAGUGCAGAUCUACUCACCGGAAACUGGAGAAUGGACUUACCGGCAGAGCAGGUGGGGUGAUAAAUCUGCAGUCUAUACUGAUACGAUGAGUGUCUUACUUGAUGGAGUAAUGCAUUUCACUUCCACUGGUUCCUCGGUACUCACAGUGGACAUGGAGGGGAAAACAUGGGGGGAAAUUCUUACUCCAGUCUCAGCAUUUUCCAGUUUUCUCGGGCGGUCUAAGGGAUACUUGUAUUUGGGGCGCAUUGAUCAUAGCAAGGACCCCCAACUAUCAAUUUGGAUGCUCAAGGAUUAUGGCAGUAAACAAUGGAUCCUAAUGCAUACUGUCAGAACAUUGGAACUGUUUGAACCGCGCCAUCUCACAUUUCAUUGGUACAAUAAGAUGAUUGCAAUGCAUCCAGAUCACAAUUUGAUUUUCUUUACUGUGGGGAUGCAAAGAAAUCUUGUAUCAUACAAUAUGGAUAGCAGGAUAGUGCAUGUUAUCUGUGCUCUGGGGGACUACUGUGUGGACACAUAUCUACCUUAUGUUCCCUGCUUCUUGGAGUGGCUAUCAGAUGAAUGCUAAAUGUUAUAGCAGCUUGCCACUUUCUAUUGGUAUGACAUCACUGCGGUCAAACGAAUUAUGUGUGGAAAAUGAGUGAAAACUUCUACUUUUUGUGCAGUGGCUUGGCAGCCUCAAGUUUACUUUAAUUGAUGUUAUUUUGGUCCUCAGAAGCAGCCUUAGUGUGGGUAUGGACAAUGGUGGCUAAUGCCGAUGAGUAUGUGUGCAGUGGAUAGCUUUUUCAAUGGAUGUACUUAUCUGCUUCUAUCGCAUAUUCUUGUAAACACCUGCCAGUUCAUAUGUGGUAAACAUGAAUAAACCCAUUAUCUACGUUGGGAUUAUAUGAAAUAUUUCUACUUUUUUUCAUUUUAUUUCCUUGCAAGUAUGUCUUCAUGAUGCAAGUUUAUUCUGUAUCAGUUAAUGUUUGAUAAUGAAGGUAACCAUGUUUGUUUUCAUAGGGUGUAUUAUCGUGUCUAUUUUGCAAUAUGAAUUGCACGGUAAGAUGAUGUGUGGGUUGGUCGAUUUGAUUUAUAGGAUGAAACUUAGUAUAUUCCUUUAUUUUGUAGAUGAUUUUACUGUGGCAGUAACACCAAGAUAUACCCAGUUUAAUCUAAAAUCUGGGUACAUACUGCCUGGCAUGUUCGCUGUUGGUAUCACCCGUUUAGUCAUGCAUGUUGUUUAUUCUUGUUUAAAUAAAGCUGUUUGUGACUAGUGGCUCUCUCCAUCAAAUUCUUGAGGUAUCAUUAUCUCAUCAACGCUCCCCGUUUGACAUGGGAAAAUUAUAGAUUAGCAUUACUUCACUUGAAUUGAGGUUCUUGCGCAUCUAAAUUCAUUUCUGAAGCAUCUUGUUUGUUAAGCAUCCCUUAUUCUAUUUGUAGAAUUGCAUUGUGCAUGCUUCGUCCAGAUUGAUCGUAUAAUUUAUGUUUAAAGGGAAGAAUUCUAUGACAGGGGGGAAAUUAAUCCUUACUCCAGUCCCAGCAUAUUCCAGUAUUCUCGGACUGUCUCAGCGGCCGGCAUGGCCGGUCGGAGUGGUAGGAAGGUGGGGGUGGAGCUCCAGGUGAAAACCCUACACUGACCUCGCUCAGCGUUGAUGAUCAUGACAUGCUUGGGAGUCGUUCCCUUCAUUGGAAGUGUUGUUGGGGAGCUUUGCUUCUCUCUUGACGAUAUGAUAGCGUCUCGGGUGAAAACCCGAGUUUUGGCUCUAACGCAGCAGGUGGCGGUGAUACCUAGGUUGUUCCUUCUUGGAGGUGUUUCCUUCGGAGGUCCUAAACUCUAAUGGACCGAUGAUGCCAAGGUGUAGAUUGUCUACAAGUUUUAACCAAACUGAACUUUUCUUAAUGGUAAAAUGGAAUACUUUAUCCUUCCAACAAAGGAUGUCUCAACUUUGACUAAAUUUGAAUGCAUCUACUGUACACUAAGUCAUGUCUAGAUACAUCCAAAUUUUGAAGACAUUUUUUGUUGGACGGAGAGAGUACGAGGUUAACUGGAUAAGCAACUAAAUGAAUCAACUUAUAUGCGCAAUACUGCCACAAGCAACAGCAGAACAAGACAAGCUUGCGAAGGGUAAAGAAAGAAGCAAUAAACGACUUGCUUCUUCUGAGUUCAAAUAUUGGGGAGAUUCUACCUCUCUGGUUAGGUGGCACCAAUCACAAAAAUGGGAUGCGUGCUCUUUCUCAACCCACUACUCAUGGGGGCUCACGUUCUUUGGUCUUGGUAGUAUUUCUUUCCUUUUGGAAAGGUGGAAUCUGGUCUAGAAAAGUGGUUGUUGUCAGUGCCAAAGGGAAAUCCGGACCCUCAUUUUAUUUGGACCAGAGUUUCGGUGACUAGGCUUUGGCCUCAGGCCACAUGUGACACUUGGAACCAUUGUCCGGGCACAUCCAGAUCUCUGGACAUUCUCAGAUCUUUUUGGACAUCAAAUUUUGGUCCAUACAUAAGCUUUUCCUGGGAAACCCAGACAUGUGGACCGAAAAUCCAAACCCUCCAAAUUACCUAUUCCUUCCGUCCAACAAAAGAUGUCUCCACUUUGACUAAAUUUAAAUGCAUCUAUACACCAAGUCAUGUCUAAAUACAUCCAAAUUUUGACAAACUCAAGACAUCUUUUAUUGUAUAGAGGGAGUAGAAAAUAUGACUUGUUUUUUUAACUCUUCAAUGGGAUAUGUUUUGCACUUACAUUUGUCUUUUCUCAAAGGCUUCUCACCAGCCCCUCUUGAUAGCACGAAUUCGCUAUAUUUAAAGUGAUUUAUUACUAAACAAAGACAAUAGAAAUGAAAUCCGCUUCUUUUGUAUAUAUAUAUAUAUAUUUCUUUUUGAGGACCACCAUCCAUGUCUUUUAGCUCCAUUGUGAGACCAUGCCUUCGUACAUAACUCAAAUCUCUCGACUAGUUAAUUGAUUGGCAUUAAGGACCAAAACUCCACGAGGGAUACUAAACACACUUUUAGGCCGGUCCACUUUUCUUUGGACCAGGGUUUGUUCCUUGCGAUGCUUUUUCUUGUUUGCAGGAAGGUGGAUGCGGGGGCAUCAAGACGAUUGAGGUGCGGUAGUGGCCCUUGGUUGUAACUCGACAUGGCGAGGGUAAUGUGAUUUUUAUGAGGGGAUGGUUAAGGCCAUCGGCCUAGCCAUCAUGUGAUGUGGAAGCUGAUAUGGUGGCCUCAGGUGGGCGCGUGUUGUGUUUAUCUUGUGCAUGGCCGGAAGUCGGGUUGGAGACCCCUUGUGUGGGCUGUGUUGUGUUAAUCUUGUAUUGCAUGGGCGACAAGACCCUCACUGUCGUGUCGGCUCCGGGUAUAGUUUAGCUAAUUGGGUUAAGCUAGUUGCUAAGUUUUCGGCUGCUUUUCCUUAUCAACCGGACAUUGUGAACGGCUAAAAAACCCGGCCAUUGUGACCAUUGUGAGGUUGUCGAUCUUCUUUUCCUAAUAAACUUGGCAAAUCCUUUUUGAUUAAUCUAGAGCCAAAGUGGUUUGUGGUUGUCCUUUUUCUAAUAAACAUGGUUAAUCCCUUUUCGAUUAAUUUAGAGCCAAAGUUUUUUGUGGUUGUCCCAGAAAAUCAGACUUAAAGUGUACGAUGUUAGUACGAGUUAAAGAGUACGGCUAGUGUAUGAAUCCUUGUCCCAAUCUUGUACGACACAAUGCAUCAGCCGUCGAUAUCCAUGGUACGCAGAGUGCCGUUAAAUGAGUCUCGAUUAAGAUUCCAAAAAUAUAUAGAGCCAAUACAGGAAGCCCUCCCCGUAAUUGCAGCGAAGCAGAGACAUAUCCAAACCCGAGAAACCCAGAGAAGCGACGCCUCUCCGCCCACGAGAGGGAGGCGAUCUGACGCGAAGCCAAGAAGGGAUCACCGCGCGGCGCGCUACUCGUCCCCCCCGAAUCCGGCGUCUACGUCCUUCUCCGGGCUCCUGCGGUAUGCCUCUCUCAACUCUCAUCGUCUCUUAUUCUUAGCCCUAAUCUCUGCUCCCAGGAUAAAUCCGGACGGAUGCGGCCCUAACUCGCAAAUUGCUGAGCUUCUAUUCGUCAUCUCUUACAGUCCAUGGUCCUCACAGCCGCUCCGUCGAUCGUUCCUUUGCAGAUCGUAUCCCCGAGACCCCGACGCUACGAGAUGGAGGUUGGUUCCAGGAACAAGCAACCGGAUGCAGCGGCGUCGGCGUCGUCUGCCGCCGCCUUCCUCACACAGGACCUCAUCAUAGAGAUCCUCUCCCGGGUGCCCUACAGAUCGCUCUGCCGCUUCAUGUGCGUGUCGAAAUCCUGGCGUACCCUCUGCUCCGAUCCUGCCCUUCGCCGGAAGUCGCCCCAGACACUGUCCGGCUUCUUCUACCGCAGCGUAUACAGUUUCAACUAUCCCUCCCUUGACGAACGUUGCCACUUGACUAAUUUGUCGGGGAGAGGGCGGCCUAUGGUCGACCCUUCUCUCCCCUUCUUGCCCAGCGGCACAAGAAUCGAGUCCUUCGUCGACUGCUGCAAUGGUCUUCUGCUGUGCCGUUGCUCCAGCUCCAACAUGUCUUCACAGCGUCAAUCUUUCUAUGUUGUGUGCAAUCCCGCGACUGAGAAGUGGACCGUGUUGCCCGAUACCGAAGCGAUGGAUGGAUGUUGCAUCUUGCGCUUGGGUUUCGACCCAGCCGCGUCUCCCCACUUCAGAGUGUUUCUGCUUCUAAGGAAUCCGCAGGGCCUUCAGGUUAUUAGUGGAGUGGAGAUCUACUCAACGGAAACUGGAAUAUGGACUUAUCGGCAGUCCCAGUGGGAUCAUUACUCGGCAGUGUAUGCUAAUUCAAAAACUGUCUUCUUUAAUGGCAUCAUGCAUUUCACUGCCGCGGAUUCCUCCAUAAUCACCGUGGACAUGGAGGGGAAGACAUGGGGGAAAAUCCUUACCCCACUCCAAUCAAAUUCCAGUUUCCUCGGGCUGUCUGGCGGGCACUUGUACCUCGCUCACAUUAAUCAUACUGCUGAACCCCUGCUAUCAGUUUGGAUACUAAAGGAUUAUGGUAGCGAACAAUGGAUCCCAUUGCAUAUUGGCAGAAUAUGGAAACUGUUUAAACCACGUCACCUUACAUUUCAGUGGUACAAUGAGGUGAUUGCAAUCCAUCCAGCACAGAAUUUGAUUUUCUGUACUGCAGGGUGGCAAAAAAAUCUUAUAUCCUACGAUAUGGAUAGACGGGUAGUGCAUGCUAUCUGUGCUCUUGGUGACAACACUACGGACCCAUAUCUUCCUUAUACUCCCUGCUUCUUGGAGUGGCCAUCGGAUGGACUUGGAUCUGCAAAAAGAAUGUCAUAGCAGCUUGCCACUUUCUCUAUUGGUAUGGCAUCACUGAUUUCAAAAGAAUUAGGUGUGAAAAGAGUGACAUCUUCUUGUUUUUGGCACAGCGGCCUGGAAGUCAUAAGUACAAUUUAGUCGAUGUUAUUUCUGUGCUCAAAAGUGGCCAUUGUGUGGUUAUGAACAAAAGUGGCCAUUGUGCUGAUGAGUAUGUAAGCAAACCUUUUUUGUGUGCACUGGAUAGCUAUUUCAAUGCACAUACUUUAUUUGCUCCGGUCACCUGCCAGUCCAUAUGGGGUAAACAGCUGCCAGCACAUAUUCUUCAUUGGGAUUAUCUGAUUUACUAGCAAAAGAACCCGUGCGAUGCUACGGAACAACGGAAAGUGUAUCAAGCACGAGCCGGUGGAGGCGAAAUCUGGAUAUUGAUUUUUCGAUUGGAUUGAUUUCCAUACUGAGAUUGAUUUUUUGUUUGGAUUCGGAUUGAUUUCCAUACUGAAAUGGAUACGAAGAAUUUUGGAUUUCAUGCUAAGGAGAUUGAUUUAUUUUAUGACUGUUCGUAUUAUGUUGUGACAAAUUUGGACCGUACGAUAACUUUCGGUAAAUCUAAACCGUAGAAUUUCUGCUACUGAAAUCGUGAAUAAGGCGGGAGGAAAAGAAAAUAAGAAGCAGUGACAUGUUGAUUGUAAUUUUAACGAAGUUGACCGACUAACACCGACCAACGGCGUCCAUCCAUCACCACCGAUUCCAAUUUAAUAUAUUGUAAUAGAUGACAGCUUUUCGUUUCAUUUAUUCCAUGCAAGUACGUUUCAUGAUGUAACUUAUUGUCUGUCAGCCAAUGCUAGGUAAUGAAGACGCUAUGUUUGCUUCCAUAGCCCAUAGGGCUGUAGCACCCUCCAAUUUGUAAUCUGAAUUUCACACCUCUUCGCUAUUUUGUUUUGGUAUAAUCACAGCCUCACAGGACAAAAAAAUCAGUAUAGUCCUUUAAUUACUGGAUGGUUUGUAUCACCGCACUAAGAAUAUACUCCGUAUUUGCCAUCAAAAAGUUCAGAAGUAUCAUCUUGAGCCGUGAAAACUUUGCAAGUAACACUACUGAUUUUAACCCAGUUUUAAAACUAAAGUCUGGGUACAUAUUUACGCACUGCCUGGCAUGCAUGUUCACUAUAGGUAUCACCCUUUUAGUCAGGUAUGUUAUUUAGCUCUUGGGAAGUAUACUGAGGGAGUAUAUCUUCCAUAUACUCCAUGCUUCUUGGAGUGGCCAUCAGAUGAACACUAAAACUUAGAGCUGCUCCUUCCUAAAAGAAUAUUGCCAUAGCAGCUUGCCACUUUCUAUUGGUAUGGCACCACUGACUCCAAAAGAAUUAUGUGUGAAAAGAGGAGAUCUUCUUGUUUUUGGGCAGCGGCCUGGAAGUCAUAAGUCUACUUUAGUCGAUUUUAUACCAGUGCUAAAAAAUGCCCAUUGUGUGGCUAUGAACAAUGCUGAAUAAUGGUGAUGAGUACGUAAGCAAACCUUUGUGUGUGUGCUUUUCUUUUAUUUUUAUUUUUGAGAAGUACCAAUUACAUCGUAGACAUUUCUUUUAUUCCAGGCAAGUAUAUCUUCGUGAUAUAACUUAUUGAUGAUACACCAGCUUUGGUGUAUUCUAAAAAAAAAUUGCUAAUUCUAGGUAAUGAAGAUCACCAUGUUUGCUUUCAUAGGGUAGUACCACUGGCCUCUGAUUUGUAAUUUGAAUUUCACACCUUACUCUCGUUGUAAUGAGAUGAUGUUUGGAUUGGCUAUUUCAAUUUUGUUUGAUAUUAUCAUAGGACAUGAAAUCAGAAUAGGACACUAAGAGUAUUUGGCAUCAAGAAGUUCAGAAGUAUCACUUUGAGCUAUGGAAACUGUGCAAGUCUGGGUACAUAGUUACACACCGUCUGGCAUGUUCACUAUUGGUAUAUCACCCUUUUAGUCUUGUACGUUAUUUAUUCUUGGUUGAUAAAGUUGUUUCUGAGUAGGGACUAUUGUUUGUGUUUCUCUAAUUCAUGAGUAUAUCAUUGGCUCAUCAAUCGUCAUGGCCACUAGUUGACAUGGAAAAGUUAUAAAUCAGCAAUGUAAGUUCAGUUCUAUUGUGUUUCUUGUCCAUCUAAAUUCAUUUCUGAUGCAUCUCGUUUGUGGUGUACAUUGCGAAGCAGAUCGUUGUUUGGUUCCGUAGCUGAUUGUGUUGGGACUAGUGCGCUGGGUAGCAGCAGCGUCUAACGGUUUUUUGGAAACUUUAAACAAAUCUAGACAAAGUGUCGAAACUUCCGGGCAAAUUAACUUCCAAAAAUUGGAUGGACUUUCAGCAAAUCCAUAAUGGACUUAAUAGAAAUGAGAUGAACUUUUUUUAAAAAAAAAGGUUGGAUGAGCUUCCACAAAUCCGUGCCGAACUUAAUAGAAAUUUGAGAUGAACUUAAAAAAAAAGGAUAAACUUUCAAUACUUGGGAUGAACUUCCCACAAAUUCAUAAUGCACCUCCAUGAAAGAUCAACUAACAUCUCCCAGAAGCUCAUUGGCCAUGGCCUCCUCCAUUGAGCAAUAAAUUAAGGUUGUAGAUCGCUAACUCGAAGCAAAGUAUUUACGGCAUCGAUUUGCGUCGGGCGGAACAAUCCCUUAAACUAGUAUAGUUCUAGGUACCGCGCAGGCUCAGACAAAUGUGACCGGAUUUGGCGGUGACGGACGCAUGGUGGAGGUGGAGGAAAUGAGGAGUUGGACCCUUAAACGUUUGCCGGAACCCUAGAUAUAGCGCGCAGGCGGAGAGUUUCACUACACCACUGCACAGGAUUUCCGACAGCCAAAUUGGUUGGGGAAACAGCUUUUAGCGACGGAAGAUCGGUCGGGAAAGGGUUUUCCCGACCAACAUUGUCUAUCACCGAAAGUCCUGUUGGCAAAGGCCUUUCCCGACCAACAUUUCUUUACCGACCGACUGUUUGUCGCUAUUAUGAAAUCUUUCCCGACCGACAUUUUCUUUUCCGACCGACGGUCUUUUCCCGACAGACAACCCUUUCCCGACCAAUAGUCCGAUGGCAUGUGUUUCGCCAACCGACCGUCUGUUGAGCCAGCCACAACUUUUUGCCGACCAACAAUCUGAUGGUAUUCAGUUUUGCCAACCAACUUUCUGAUGCCACUACAUCAUCUUUUCCCGACCGACUGUUAGACGAUGGUAAUUUUGCCAACCCAACUUCGGGUUCAUUGCCUACGUACGUGCACACUCAAUCAAGUUACAUAUAUUACAAGAGUAAGUUUUGACACACAUAAAUAAUUCAUAUCUUCGAAACAUAGUUACCAUUCAGAUUCUCAUAAACUAAAGGAAACACCAUCGUUCAAUGUUCAAGAAACCAUACAAGUUUACAAAAUAAUUCAUUGUUUGCUCCAUUACACAAAAUAUCCAUUUGACAGAAACCCCGACUUCAUGGUUUCUCGCCCGUCAGCUUCUUGGUUCUUUAUCCUUAUGCAUACCAUCCCUAUAGAAGAUAAGAAGGCCUCAAUACAUUUAUAAGUUGGUAACACAAUGACGUUCUAAACAUUUGCAUCAUGAAAAAGGAAAAUGCAAUUCAUGCUGUUAUAAAACAGAUAAUGGCUCUUAUGUUGGAGAGAAAAUUUUGAUGUACUUAGACACGUGAAGGCAAGGUCUCAGGUGAAUCAUGUACGAAAGAGAGCACACAUACAUAAAAAAGCUGUUAUUUUACAUAUCUAGGUACAUGACAGCAGAGAGAAACAGCACAAUGAACCAAAAACUUGUUUCACAUAUCAGUAUAGGAAUUAUUCUUAUGUAAACAGCCUAUCUAGAAUUAAUCUCCACAUGAAGGUGAAGGGAAGUGCAGCCAGCAAAUCUGUGCGCUCUGAAACUUUUUGGAGAGGAGUAGAUAUUGCUGUCAAAUUCUUUGAGCCAUUGGCUAAUUUGUUGAGGCGAAUGGACAGCGAUGUACCAGCUAUGGGGUUCAUAUACGGAGCCUUCUUGGAUGCGAAGCAAGAGAUCUCAGCCCAGUUUGAAAAUUCAGAAACUUGUUUUCAGCAAGUAUUGGAUAUUGUAGAUAAAAGAAGGGACAACAAGCUAAAGAUGCCACUACAUAGGGCUGGAUACUACUUGAACCCAUACUAUUAUUAUGCAAACAAACUGGCUAUUGAGAUAUUAUGCAAACAAACUGGCUAUUGAGGUAGAUGGAUCAUUUAAAGAUGGGCUUGUAACUUGCAUGGAAAAAAUGGUUGGAGAUAAUCGCCUUCAAGAUAAAAUCAUGGAUGAGAUUAAUACAUAUACAGAUGAAGAGGGCUCAUUUGGAAGGGACAUAUGUAAACGGCAGCGGAGAAACAAAAGCUUUGAUCCAGGUGAAUAUUUAGUUAUUUACAUUGUCCUCAGUUCUCAAAUCAGAUCUUAUAGUGGUUACUUAACUCUUGUUUUUACUUCCUAUUUCUAAUGAAGCUAAAUGGUGGUCCAACCAUGGCUCAAGUGCACCAAAUCUCAGGAUAUUGGCGAUGCGAAUUUUGAGUUUGACAUGCAGCUCCUCUGCUUGUGAGAGGAAUUGGAGUAUUUUUCAGCAAGUAAGAAAGAAAUACAUCUAAUUUUAUUCGCAAAGUUGCAAUCAGAUAUUCAGAUUACUUGCAAUCAGAUCAAUGUUGAAUACUUGAAUCAGAUUACAGUAGCAUUCAAUUUUGCCACUUCACCUACAGGUGCACACAAGGAGACGCAAUAGGCUACUUCAUAACAAAAUGAGGGACCUGGUGUUUAUCAAGUUCAACUCCAAGCUAGAACAAAAGAGGGGGAUGAAAUACAGGGACCCGAUUGAAGACACCACAUUUGCAACUGUUGUAGAAGAUGAAUAUAAUGAGUGGAUCACGGGUGUUGUGCUAGAUGGAGGUGAGCAGCAGUUGUGGAAGAUGAAUAUAAAAGGCACUGUAUUUCCAGAUGUAUUGAUACUUAAAGCACAAUUGCUAGAACAACGGAUGCUAUUACUGUCAUAACACUAUAUUGUUCAUCAAGAUUCAGAUUUGGAUAAGAAAUUACUCAAAGUGAUGAUUCUUUUAUAGAGCUUGAAGGUACAACUGUCUCAACAUUUAUCCCAAGUUUAUAGAAAAGAAUACCUUAGCGACAUGUGGAGGAUAAUGCCGCAGCAGUCUUGUAGGGCUUCAUCUAGAAAAAUCAUCAGCAGUCAACAGCUUACAUCCAACAAUACAAGGAAAACUCAAAAAAUUAACAGGGUAGGUGAUUACCUUGCUUGAUGGCCAUGCAAUGGACAUCUUGACAGCAUCGCUGAUGUAUCGUAAACCAUCAUACUGAAAAGGUAGCGUAGAUUCCCUUCUAAUCGCAACACUGAUGAUCACCUCAUAAUUCUCAGGCCCAAGGGGCUCCCCGCCAACAAUAGUGUCUUCAGCGAUUGAGAUAAUCGUCGCCUUAGCAACAGGAGUUUCAGGACCAUUCCAAGCAAGCAGAAGCACAUCCAUACCAAUCCGAGAGAUAUUUAUUUUAGGAACAUGCAAACAAAAAUGUUUAAAUAUGUAGGUAAGGAUUUGAAGAUAGAUUACCAGGCUUUCAUCUUGAUGAUUUGGGAAACUACUUUGGGGGACCCUUAUAACUCUUCUAUGCAUAUAGGUGUCUUCAUCAUCGUCUUCUUCAUCGUCAUUACGUUCCUCAGGUUCUCUUGAGUUCUAUGUCAAACCACAACAUAUAUGUAAAUAGAGUUAUUACAAGCAUGCUCAAUAAUGAAUGCAAUGACUAGAUCUGCACAUAGUUAAUUACCAGUCGAGAAUUAGUACCAUGCUGAGAGCUAGGAGUCCCCACAAUAUGACCUCCUUGUGAAAUCAAUUGGUUCAGUUGUUGCUGCAUUCGUUGCAUCUGCUCCUGCAUUGAGUCCAGGCGUUGUUCAGCUUGUCGACGUGCUUCAAUUUCCACAAGAACCCUUGUGGUCAUUCGGACCUGUGUACUCUGUGCCCAGAUCUGUUGGUGUUGGCCCCAUACCUAAUACACGGACACGACCCCUUGGUUCCUUCAUUCCACAAACACGUGCAUAUAGGUCACCUUCCUGAAUACUUUUUUCCUUCCACUCAGGGUGGUUUUCGGCUGCUUCAACGAGUUGUUUCUGCAAAAUGUAUUGCAUUUACUUGAUACAUUUACUUGUAGAAUUUUUGAGUAAUACUAAAUGAAUGGGCAAAUACUUACAAUUAUUGGCGCUGCCUGUGAUAAAUGGUCCCCCUUCUUGCGUGUACGUGUUUUGAUGAAAACUUCAUCUCUCCGAGGGGCAUACCCAAGUUCAUCAGCCUACAACCAGUCCAAGUUUAGUACAAUGUAUUAGGCUUUGAAAUACAACAUCAUAUCAUUCGUAAGUGAGAUAAUUGGUUUACCAUUUCAUGGGUAACACGGGCAUGACUCUUGCUACCAGUUGUAUACGACACCGUCGACUUGGCAUGAUUCUCUUUCGCUCUUGCACUGCGAGCGUACAAGAAUAAAAAUUUGAUCACCAAACUUCAGGUUAAUGAUUGUUAGGACACCUGAGCAAGGGGAGGACCAUCAACAUAAAAAAUAGUUCUUGAGGGUACUGUUUGCGUAUGCAAAGUUUUAUCAGCAUAAUAUAAACUCUUCCAAGCAAGGCUGCUGCCAUUCAGUUUAGUUUCUGUACAUAAAGCUAAAAUAUCCAGUUCAUAUCAAAAGUUUAAAAAGAUCAGUUCAGUAUAUCUAUAUAUAUGUAGGCAGGAUGGCUUACUUCCAAUUCUGGAGAUCUCCAAUAUUCAAUAAGGGUAGCCCAAUCACGUUUACUAAUUCUCUCAUCACAUCUUCUCAUAAGUUGUUCAUCAGUCAAUUCAGGACCAAACUUUGUCUUCUUUAAAUCAGCCUUCCAUUCCUUCCAUUUAGUGUGUGAAGUGUUAUAAACAUAGCUUAGAGCAGUGGAGUCCAGCUCAUAGAAAGCCUAAUAAUUGAAAUCAGAAAAGGAUAAUCAUCAGCUAGAUAGCAACAGCCAUGAGAACAUAAAUUGUAAGUAAUAAGCCAUGUCUGCAACACAUACCUGUAAGUGAUCCCACACCAAUGACUUCUGUGCUUCCAGCUCAACAUCUCUCCAAUCUAACUUCGCAGGUGAUAUAUGCUUCCUCACCAAAGUACCAAUGAAAUUUGCAAAUUCAGUUGCAUCUGCCCCAUAAGGCUGGCCAAGCUCAUUAAAUGGAAUUUUGAUUUUAGGUUUAGUAUGCCUCGAAUAAAUGUUUAACUUCUGAAUAAUUUUUCUUCCACCUUUCUUUUCACCGUUACCAUUACCAUCAAGCUCAUGAAUAACCUCUACAUGACAAUGGUCAUAGUUACUAUAUAGUGCCAUGAGAUCACUAUAAUAAGGAGAAGUAUAAUUAACUAUAUGUACCUUUCGAAGGUUGUUGUCCAGAAUCUACAAGAUCAUCUUUUCUUGCACUCGACCUUAAAACACGCUGUUCAUUUCUACUGUCAGGUAUUCUGGAGGAUGCCUGCAUAGACGACGUAGGUAUCAACAUAGAAAAGUCAUAGUUCAAACUACAUUUUCUACACUUCAGGAAUAGCAAGUGUUGGAAGCUCCACAUGCACAUGUAAAACAUGUAAACAUACCUUUCUUUUCUUGUUAGGAGGUUGGGUUGCUUCCAUAUGACCUCUAAGUGCAUCUCGUCUUUCACGAACAAUUGCCAGCUUCUUGCUAUUUUCUUCUAUUUGCCUAGUUCUUUGUAAUUGAUAUUCAACUGCCUUUAGUUCGUCCGACAUGACCCCACCAUCUUUAUCCUUUCCUCUUGCACUUGCCAUUCUUCUUUGUGAAAAAAAGACAUAAUGUAAGAAAGUAUGUGGCUGAGUUUACAAACAAACAUAAAAGCAAAAUUGUACAUCACACUUACUUUUUUCCAAUAUCACUUGCCUUAAAACCUAAUCCAUCUACAUCUGCCCUAGCAGAACCAACUUUUUGUUUCAUUCGGAUAAAUUUGAUGGAAUAGAGAAUCUCUAACAAUGGCAGAGGACAGACUAAAUUUUUGGUAUGGCAAAAAUCAAUCGGAUGAACCAAAUCACCUAAAUAUAAAAUCAGCAAAAGAGUUCUUCACAAGUACAUUAAAAUUCACAUCAAGUCUUGGUGCAAGACUGCUACUGUUGCGGUCUAAUACACUAAAUGCUUCGGUUUUAUUCUUCAAAAGACAAACUAACAGAAAAAUCCCAGUACAGAACUCCCAGCUUGCAGGCACAUGGAGAGAGAGAGAGAGCAACUCACCAGACUGAAGUCGCCGGCAGCUUGGGGGUGUGAGCGCGUACAGGACCACCUCUGCGAGGAGAAACGGCGGGGCUGCAGGAAGUCCAGCUCCUGUGGCGACGGGGUGGCGGUACAGAUCCCGCGGUGACGGUCCAGAGAAUAGCGGAGAGGCGGGAUGGGGGCGGCGCUCUAGCGGCUAGGGUGGAUUGGUGGCUGUCGAGCGCAACGGCAGCAGUUCUUGGCGGGGGUGACAGGCGGCGGAUGGGAUAAGCCGGCGAGGAGGCGGGGCGAGGCGCGCGGCCGGUGGUGUGGGACGGGGUGGAGGCGAAGGGGCCGCACCGGCCGGAUCAGAAUCGAGACCAGCGGCCGCGACGUGCUCUUGUGGACUGCUGUCUCGUGGACUGAGAAAGGGAAUGGGAAGAGAGAAGGCUUGGCUAGGGAUUUGGAAUUAGAGAGCGGAAAUGUUCGCGGGCUGGGCCAAAAUAUGGCGCCCAAAAUUUCAUUUUCGGGUGGGUAAGGCCCGACCAACAGUUGGUCGGCGUUUUUUGCCGACCGAUCGUUUGACACAAACAUCGGAAUUGCCGACCGAUUGUUCGACUCCUUUGUAUUUUUCAUUUCCGACCAACGGUCCGUCGCCCUACAUACAAAUUCCCGACCAACCGUCCGACAUCAACUUCUCCGACCAACCGUCCGACACCAUAUGUAAACUUUUCCAGACCAACAACAAUCGGCAAUUCUAUGCAGUGGUGUAGUAUUUUACAUUAACCCGUUACCUUUUUUUUACAAACCGUGCAGUUUUAAGAGGCCUGUUUGGAGCAUUUUUUCUGUGCAAACCCAGAAUAUUUACAGGUCAAAACUAUAAAAAGGAUCUGCUAGAGAUGCACUAACUAGCGGUGGUGAUAACCCUACUACGGGCUGCUAAGGUGGUUGUAUAUGUGUGUUUGGAUUGACCAGAAGUGUUUGUUUAUUUUAUUUUUUUGCGGGUAAGAUUGAGCCCAAGUUUGACUUAACAAAAUUUUGCUAGCCAAAUAAUUGGCCAUGAUUUUACUUGUCCAUGAUCAAGUCGGCUAACUUUAGUUAAAAAAAAAUUAAGUAGAGUUGGCUAAAAGAAAUUGACAUUCCAAAUAAUUGGUACCUAUCCAAAUAAGACCAACCUCUUGGUCAUGACCAAAAAAUUGGUAUGCUUUGGUAAUGAUCCAAACAUACUGUAUGAGCCGAUGUGGGGAGAUCCGUGCGCCUAGCUCCUUCUGACAGCAUGAAGGCUUGGGCCCUCUCGGCUCGUGGCCACGACAAGGGCGACAUGCGGGACGGCGUAGAUAGAGCGUUGUUAUGACGGAUGUUACAACGAGCAGUGCGAUGUGCUCGUCAGGAACAGGAAACAAGAGAGAGGGGCAUGCGAACAAGAAUAAGAGUAUGUUUGAAUGUUGACUAAACUAUACCCUACCAAAAUAUUCGUCUCUGACCAAGAUUUGUUCCUUGUUUGGAUUUUUUUUUCUAGACUAGAAUACACUUAGAUAGGUGUAUCAUAGUUCCUUGUUUGGAUAAAGUCAAUUUUUGACAAGCCACUGCCUCACUAUGGAUUGAGUUUAUUUUUAUUUCAAUUAGUCAACUUAUGGACUAUUAAAACCAUCGUAAAAAAAUUGGCUAAUCCAUUUGACGUUUGAAAUGGCAAAUGGACGCAAAGGCUUAGUUUGGCAUUUGCUGAACUGUGUUGCGUUAAGGUUAUUUUAUACUUCCUUCGUUACAUAAUUCUUGUCUCAAAUUUGUUCAAAAAUGGCUGUAUCUAUUCCUAAAAAUGUCUAGAUACAUGUAAUAUUUCGACAAGAAUUAUGAAACGGAGGAAGUACUAAUUUGCUCUUAAAAAUUACACACGAAAAUAGAAAAAAAUUGAUUAACCAAACACGCAAAUAACCAAAAACUGGUUGAAAAAACUGAAUUAUCGAAAUCCACGUGAACGCCAAACAUAGCUAAACCAAACAUAUCCUAAGAUCACCCGACGCCCGCAGAUGAACUAGCAAACCUCAAACCGAGAGAAACAGGCGGCGGCGGUUACCGGCGAUGGCGGCGACCGGCGACCGGGCAUCGCAGCCUCCCUCUUUCUUCCUCCUUCUGACCGGCCAUGCGGGUGACCGGCGGUCUAUUCUGCUCCCUCCCUCUUCUGUGAACUCCCGGCCACUGCUCCAUCCCUCUUCUUCCCUAUCUUCUUCUUUUUUUCCCCACCUGCUCUCUACCGGCGGGACUGCUCUCACCCGGCCACUGCUAUCUCCCUUUUUUUUCGCCAUCUGCUCUCACCCGGCCACUGCUUCCUCUUCUUUCUUUUUGUUUCUGUUCUUUCCUAUCUGAGAACCACUGAUUUGAGCAAUAUGUGCAAUUGAUCUACUUUUGUACUCCUUCGGAUCCUAAAUUGUUGUCGAAAUACUGCAUUAGACGCUUUUUAAGAAUAGAUACAUUUAUAUUUGGACAAAUUUGACUCAAGAAUUUAGGAUAGAGGAAAUAUAUGGAAAAUCGAAAACCAUCUGGAUGUACAUGGUUGUGGUUGCUGUUGACUGUUGAGUCUAGAACAACGGAAGAAGAAAUUUCUGAAAAUUAAAGAUCAAGGAUGGCCGUAUGUUCUAUGUGUUGAGUCUACAACCAAACACGAAAUUGAACCAACCCACUCACUCUGACUCAGCCAACCAAACGUGAAAUUUGGUUCGUCCCACUCAAUCAACCAAACGCUCAUGUGGUUCGACUGGCCCAGAAAUUCUGGUUGGGCCCAACCCACCCACGGUGGCCGCCCAACCAAACACAUACGCGAGCAGAUGAACUAGCAACACCCAGUCAGGCCAGGUGGGCUUUGAAUAAGGCCAUACAGUAGUAGUAUCGGGCCCAGAAACAAUCAAUUUCGAAAGCAAUCCAAGCCGCAGGAGCAGGAUACAACUACAAGGAGAAGCGAGCCCAACCAUUUUCACCCACCGCUCCCUCCUCCUCCUCUCCCCACUCCAAAAACCCCAGCUCGAGCGCCGCGUCGGAGCGCCCUACGAAAACCUCCAUCUCCGGCGGCGAUGGCCGGCGUCGGCACCAGCGGGAGCGGCGGUGGCGGCGACACGGAGAUGGGCGGAUGGUCGGAGCUCCUCAACACCUCCACCAAGCUCCUCGAGCAGGCCGCCCCCACCCCGCACUUCCCUACCCUCCAGGUGCCGCAUCGCGCUGUUCCGCACCCUCCUCGCCAGCAUCUCUCUCCCGCCGUUCCCGAAUCAACCCCCCGUUUACUUCCGUGUUGACGGGUUCCUUGUUUGUUGUCCCGCGCAGAGGAACCUGGACCAGCUCGAGGCGCUCUCCACAAAGCUCAAGGCCAAGACGAUCCGCGCCGAGGCGCCGUCGCAGUCUCUCUCCGCCACAAGGUCAGUUUCCCAGGGCCCCUUGGUUAACAUCGAGACCCUCUCUGCCCAUCUCCGCGUGGCAUGUCAUGCGAAUUGGGAUGGCCGCUUCUGGGGUUUUGGAGGGACUUAGGGUUUCGGCUGUGCAUUUGCAGGUUGCUGGCGCGCGAGGGAAUCAAUGCGGAACAGCUCACUAGGGACCUCAAAUCGUUUGAACUCAAGGUGAUUAGCUUGUCCAUGUCAGAGAAUGCUAUGGAUAAUCUCAUGUGUUGGUCGUUAGAUCAACCAGUUGAUUUUGCUGAAGCCAUAACAUUUGCGUUGUGCACUCUUUUCUUCAAUGUAUAACCGUUUAUUGAGGCUUUUCACUUUUGAUUGUCAGUAUUAAUAAUUUCACUUUCUCGGUUUUCUACGUCAAUGGAAGGUCUCAAUUUUACUUUUGGACAUAAGCUCAAUUUUUUUAUUUACUUUUGGACAUAUUCCUAGUGUGGAUGGUACAAAUCACAUUUUUUCCUGGAACCAUUAUUUUUGUAGUCUCAGUUGAGAAGCUGCCUACUCAUAUGCAGAAAAUAGUGUUGAGUGGUCUGGUAUUUUAUUAUAGUGUAGCAAUCUUUCCUACCAAUUAUGCAAGCACAUAAUACUGUAAUAUUGUUUUAUGCCGUUUUGGCUCUAUAUGUAUCUGCGUUUGCUUGUUACUGUCAAUUUACAACUCUUGAAUAUCACUCACUGGACUGGUUAUGAGUCUACAUUAUGGUGGACUUAUUUGUUUUAUUUUUGCAGACCACCUUUGAGGAUGUUUUCCCGUCAGAAGCUACUUCUGUUGAGGAAUACCUGCAGCAGGUGAACACUUUGUCUCUCUUAUCGCAUUUUCUACUGAACUUCAUGGAAUGCAUAAAUGCAUAAUGAAGUUUGUGUUUUUUCAGCUUCAUGAAAUGGCAAUCGUCUCAUCCAUCCAAGGAGCACAAAAGGACAACUUAAAGAGUUUUAACAAUUAUAUGAUGCAAGUUCUUGAGGUUGGUUGCCUUUUGCUUUUAUUUAUUUUUCUCGAACACGCUGAGCGGCGUGUCUUUUCCAUUAGGAAGAAAGCGCAAGAAGCGCAAGUACAAGAAGGCAACAAAGGAGUCCCAACGGGGCUCAAAGAAAAAAGAAAAAGGAAAAGAACAAAAGAAAGAAAAGGAAAGGCUAUACAGGGAGGGCGUUAGGAAAAAUGUCUGGGGGACGCGCAUCCUUUUGCUUUUAUUCAUUUCAGUUUUAUGUUUGAGCAGGGCUAGUAGCCAUUAUAAGGCCUUUUAGGUUGCAAUUUCUUGGGCCAGUUUGGUAGUGUUAGAGUAGUUGUUGAAUUCCUUACAUCCAAGCUUUAUUUGUGUUAUUUGACUUAAUAUGCUGCACCUCUCAGAAAGUAAAAAGUAUAUGUAAUAGUGUUGUAAUCUGAGUUGAUGCAACUUUCAGUCCUGAGCCCAGUUGUAACAUGUCUUCAUUUUUCGAUUGCUACAUUGGCAACUUGAUGUUAUGGUCUGCUUGGAUGCUCUGAGUGGUUAUGCUGUUCAGUUCUGAAUUUUAUAGCAUCUUUGUUGUAGGAUGACUGGCAGAAGGAGAAGAGGGACUUCUUGCAGAGUCUAAGCCGACUUUCUACAUUACCAAAGCGAAACACUAAUCUAGCCAGUGGUUUGUCUCGUCCUGCUCUGAUGUCGGCUUCCAGUCCUCAAGCUGCAUCCGGCCUGCCUGCUAUGGAAGUCAUGCCCAUACCAAACAAGACCAUAAUUGAAAACAAAUCUUCAGUUUAUGCUGGGGUUGUGAGAGAUCUCAAUGAUGCCAGAGGACGCAGCCUGCCUUUUAGUGUAAGCUUUGAAUUUCUGUGUCAAGAUUUGACAUGUCAGCAUCUUAGUGUGCAUAAGUAGAUUAGAUACUUAAGCCAUCUAAAGUCCUAUUCUCCAAAUAAUUUGGGUUUACAAAAUAGCUGAAGUGUCUAUUUUUGUAUGCCUUUGUAUGUUAUCAUGAGCACAAAGUCUCUUGAUGUACUCCCUCCGUCCCAAAAUAAGUGACGUGGAUUUGUAUAAGAAUCUAUACAAUUCCACAUCACUUGUUUUGGGACGGAGGGAGUACCAAAUUUCACUAGUACUUACUGAAAUAAUUCUUUUGUUAGCCUGCCACAGCUUUCAGGGCUGCUUAUGAGUCCUUGUCUGUUGAUGUUAUUGGCGCAAAAUCGGUGACCAUGCAGAAAGUCUGGCAUUUAAUUCAGGUAAUAACACUGUUUUGAGUGUAGUUAAUUCAUACCGUGUUCUGUUCACGUGCAGUUAUAUAGGACUGUAUUACAAGUUAAGAACACGCAAUAUCUACUACUCCCUCCGAUCCAAAAUAAGUGUCUCAGUUUUGAACUAACCCUAGUUCAAGCCUACUUCAAAACUGCGACACUUAUUUUGGAUCGGAGAUAGUAUAUGAUAUUGAUGUGUUAUUUUUGUAGUUUCUUACCGUUUUCUUUGUUUGUCCAAUUCAGGCAUUAGUAGGUGAAGGGUCGACUCAUCGAAGCAAUUCAAGAAAAAUGUCACUAGUUAUUGGAGCUAGGCAGCACCUUGAGUGGGGUCAUGAGAAAUAUAUAAUUGAGACCAUCAACAGCCAUCCAGCAUUAGUGAGUACUUUUCUGGUCUUUAAGCACUGGCGCUGUCCCUCAAAAUUCACUUCAGAAAAUCAAACAUUCAUGUCACGAGUGCAACUAUUUAGGAUUUCCAAAAUUUUUUUUUGUGAUUACCUGUUUUUUUUUCCUUUUUCCAUCUAAGCAGGUGUAACUAUGAUUACUUCGUUUUUUCUUGGCUCUUAUGUUAUGGCCUAUUGGUAUUCCCACUCUGCAGUCUAUACAUGUGACCUUGUGUAGUGUAGUUUCUUAGCUAGGUCAGUGAUGAUUUUUAUGACUAGUUCUUCACUAUCCUAGUACUAGUUUUUUUGUAGAAUAAUGUUUCCCUUAUUGCUUUGCUUAUAUUUUGUGAAACCUAUUCAUCCAAAAGCUUCACCCUGUGCAUUAUUAAAUCAGCAGUUAUAAUUAAUCUGUCCAUUUCACUUUGUGGUUCUAGGCUGCCCUUGGUGGAUCUGUCGGCAAUCUUCAAAAGAUUCGUGCAUUUCUUCGGGUCUGUUUUGAAUUUUAUGCUACAUCUUUCUACUAUCUACUUUUGCAAUUGUGGAUUAAAUUUGGAAUUCAAUGCAACCUCUUGUCUGUAUGAAUGCACAGGUCCGGUUGCGGGAUCAUGGUGUAUUAGACUUUGAUGCAAUCGAUCUGCGCAGACAACCACCAGUGGACACAACUUGGCAGCAGGUUUAUUUUUCUGUUGGAUUGUUUCUUUAGCAUGAAUUAGGACUUGUACCCAAGCACCCUAUUAGUUGGAUAGAUUAAUUGACAACUUUGACACUGAAGUAAGAUACCAUCAGUAAUCAAGCAAUUGAUGCCUGGAGCUUGUAAUUUUAUGGGAGCAUUGAGAUGAAGUAUGGUGCAACUAUGGGUGUUUUAUAUGGAGCUGGUUUUCUCAACUUAAACUUGGGUUUAUCAUGAAACCGUGCCUAUGGUAUUUCCACCGACUGGUUCAUUUUUAGACAUAUUAAAAUUAAAUCCUAAGAUUUACUUCGAAAUGAAAUCUAUUGAUACUACAAAGGGAUUCUUCUUGGUGAAUGAGAUUUAUUCUGAAUAAGUUCUUUCUUGAUGGCACAUCGAUGGAUCUUAUUGUAUGGAUAUUCGGUAGAAGUAGCUGGUUCCUAGGCUUAUUUUUAGUUCUGACCUAUCUCAAGUCAUGUACGUAUUAUUAUUAUUUUGAUGAGAAAAAUAUUUACGUAUUAUUGUUCUUCCUUUGGCAGAUUUAUUUCUGCUUAAGAACCGGGUAUUACGAUGAAGCAAGACAAGUUGCUCAAUCAUCUCGUGUUGCUUACAACUUCGCCCCUCUGGUAAAGUAUCCUUGAAUAAUACUGUAAUGCAUCAUUGUCCUUAAUAGGACCCACUACUGAUGCUAUGUUCUUUGGCAGCUUGCAGAAUGGAUUACCACUAAUGGUGCUGUAUCAUCAGAGACUGCUCUGACGGCUUCUGAGGAAUGUGAAAAAAUGCUCAGAAUGGGUGAUCGACCAGGGCGUCCGGGUUAUGAUAGGAAGAAAUUGCUCCUUUAUGCCAUAAUUUGUGGUUGUCGACGCCAAAUUGAUAGAUUACUUAAAGACCUGCCAACACUUUUUAAUACUAUAGAGGAUUUCUUGUGGUUCAAAUUGUCAGCUCUGCGGGAAUCCACCAGUGCAUCUUCUUCCAAUGUAUUGAAUGAAAGCUUGGUUCCUUAUACACUGGAGGAUUUGCAAAAUUACUUGAACAAAUUUGAGCCAUCAUAUUAUACAAAGAGUGGAAAAGACCCACUGGUCUAUCCCUAUGUCCUUCUCUUAAGUAUCCAAUUACUUCCAGCAAUUCUUUAUUUGUCCAAAGAAGUUGGAGAAGAAGGGUUCCAUGUUGAUGCUGUGCAUAUUUCAAUUACUUUAGCUGAUCAUGGUAUUCUCCCUGAGGGUGUUGGAUCAGGCCAGAAGAUGGGUGUGAUGGAUGCUUGCGCAGAAGCUGCCAGUAUAGUGAGGCAAUAUGGUUCUAUUUGCUUGCGCAAUGGCAACCUUGAUUUAGCCCUGGAGUAUUAUGCACAGGCUGCUGCUGCAAUGGGUGGAGGACAGGUAUCAUGGAUUGGUCAUGGUAAUGCUGAUCAACAGCGCCAACGAAGUUCAAUGUUGAAGCAGCUGCUCACAGAGAUAUUACUAAGGGAUGGUGGUAUUCAACUUUUGCUUGGUCCAAGUGGAAUGGGAGAAGAAGGAGAACUAAAGAAGUACAUGAUGGAUUGGAGAAGUAGGCAGCAAUUCUUGCUUGAAGCUGCCCAUCGGUGUCAAGAGGCAGGGCUCUAUGACAAAGUAAGUUCUAAUUUUUGAACACAUGUAUAUGGAAACCUUUGUUCUUGUACUUCAGGUAACAUUUUAUUAUAUAUUUUCCUAGGUUGAGGCUAGCAAAAGGAUCGGUAGGAACAUCAGUUCCUUAUAACUGUAGGAUAGUGGCAUGGAUUACAUUUCUCUUGAAUUAGUUAAUUUCAUCAUGUUCGUAGCUGACUUGAAAGAGUCCAACUUCUCUGAUAACAAAGCAAUAUGAUUCAUUCUAGCACUGAUUAUAAGCCGAUUGAACAUUAGUUAUAAAAUCAUACCCCUGUGGUAGGAAUUGUUGUGAUAACAAAAACCAUUAAUUUGUCUUAACUGCCACAUGUAACAUGCAUGAUUUCAACAUCGAUAUAUGUGCAUGUAUUUGAAACCAUUUAUUUCAUGUCUACAUCAGCUGCACUUCAAUCUUUUUGAGCUGUUAUGUAUCCACCUGAUGUUAGUUUACUCUUUACAUGAAAUUCAGUCUGUGGAGAUUCACAAAAGAGUCGGAGCCUUUGCCAUGGCACUUCAGACAAUAAACAAGUGUCUGUCAGAUGCAAUAUGUGGCAUGGCACACAAUAUGUUAGAUGGUGAAAGUCGUGCUAUUGCUCUAAUUCAAUCUGGCAAUGAAAUUUUGGAAACAUCCAGAUAUUCUUCUGAAGCCAGGUUAAUUACCUCUUAUCUUCUGCUUUUACAUCAUUUGACUGUUGGUUCUUCAUGUUUUUGAAAACAGCAUGCUAAUUAAUCUUGUGGAACUCACUUGCAGUGUUCAAGAUAAGGAUCUAAUUUCUGAACAGCAAAUUGUACUGAGACAACUUGAAGCUAUUCUUCACAUUUAUAAGCUAGCUCGUGCUGGACAAACUGUUGAUGCUUUGAGGGAAACCAUCAAACUUCCGUUUCUUCAUUUGGAUCCUCAGUCUCCAAAUGUAGCAAUCGAUGUAUUCAGGGAUUUAUCACCCCAUGUUCAAGCUUGCGUGCCAGACCUCCUGAAGGUUGCUCUAAACUGUAUGGACAAUGUUAGAGAUACUGAUGGGACCCUGCGUGCUGUCAAAUCAAAGGUAUUUUCUCUUUUUAUUGCAUUUAUCAGCAGAUAUACCAUAAAAUUAUGGAUAGGAUAGAUAAAUAUUGAUUGGAUACCUACCUUACCUAUGUUUAGUUUUGACUUAAAUCCUACAACCUCGCUUUCUAUCAUUCUAUGAAAAAAUGAAGAGACUUUAUCCACAACUCCUAAAUUUAUUUAGGAUCGGCCUAUUUAAUCUGAUUUUCGCUAGAAUAAGUAGCCCUUACUUUAGUGUAUGUAGGUAACAUAAGAUGUACGAUAAAAAAAUGUAUGAUAAUUAGGAAGUCUUGAUAUUCACGUUGUUGAAUGCAUGAUGUAGGUUAAAUGCCAA
rnacentral:lncRNA from 1 species